rnacentral:lncRNA from 1 species
UCCCUAGACCUAGAAAGUAAAAUAGGCUAGGGAGAAAGAUUUGUAAUAUAAUAGAGGGUGAUUUUGCACAGAAUAAUAAUUAUGCCUGCUGCAGCUCUUCUGUUUAAAAGAAGAAAUCAGGAACCGACAGAAUCCAAUAUCCAACAGAGCAACGUCGAGAUUGGGUGAAACAAGAUCGAGAUAUGAGACCAAUACCGAAUUCUAUUCUAUUCUAUUAAUAUAAUAUACACGUGUUGUCUUUCGUCUUUAAUUAAUUAGCCCGGCCGGCGAUUGACGAGACUCAUCAUGCAUAUUGUAUUGUAUUUGUAUUGUUUUGCCCAAAAUAUGAGACGCAUGCAGAAAGUAAAGUAAACACACACACACACACACACACACUCUCUCUCUCUCUGCAAAUCUAUCUGCAUCCACACACAAUAAUUAAAUAAUUUUGAUUCAUAGAGAGAGGCCAGCAGGUCAAUACUAAGAUACUAAAACUAUUUAUUUACUAGCUAAAAGUUGUAGAGCCAGUUUGGCACUGCCAGGUGCAGCAAAUCAUGUCAUCAGUCAUUCAAGAUAUUUAUGAUCCCAUCCCAUCCCCAGCUUUUUAUAUCAUGCAUUUUUCUUUCUUUCUUUCUUUUCUCUGUCUACAAUCAAUACAAAUACAAAUACAAAUCUUCUUCUCAAACCACAUCCACAUGCAUACAUCACAUCACAUAUCACAUCAUGCAUGACAUACAUACAUACAUGACACAGUUGUCGAGGUGCAUUUACGUUUUACCUGCACACGCCAAAUAUACCGGCGUCCUCGAAGCCGCCUCCUCACUUCACUUUUUGUCUUUCUCCAUAUCCAUCCAGUUUCUCUUAUUCAUGAUCAUGACUUUGCUAGGCCGACCCUUGCUUCAUAGCCACCUCUCUCCUCCCUCAUCCUCCUAUAUUAAUUUACCUUAUAGUAAUAAUAAUUAUACGACUUAAAUUGAUUGAGACUUCAAAGUUACCGUUUUCACUUUUUUGUAUUUACUUGCUUUCGUUGCCAUAUAAUAUAAACUCAAAAAUGCAAAAGAAAGAGAAUAAGUUAAUUUUGCUACUGUUACGCUGCUGCUACUGCUACUACUGCAAGAAUUUCAGAAUUUAAUAACAUUAUAUAAUAAUAUUUUAUUUAUAAUAAUGGUAAAGAAAUGGUUGGUGUUUGUCCUCUCUCUCUCUCUCUCUCUCUCUCUCUCUCUCUCUCUCUCUCUGUCUCUGUGUCUCUCUGGCCUUGCUUUUGCCGUAUGCAUCAUUCCAUUUGCGCAGGAAUUUCCAUCAUUCCUUUCUUCCUUCUCUGCUCUUUUCCAUCAUUAUCGUACUGUGCCCUCCUCCCUGCCAAUACCAUACAGUAUUCUGCCCACACAGAACCAUACACAAAAUUUAAAAUUUAUUUUAAGGACCCUACUUCUCUCUCUCUCUCUCUCUCUCUGUGUGGGACAUGUUUACAACCCCACCUCUGCUAGACUGCUAUUACAUUUGCUAGCUAGCUAAUGCCCUAAUAACACCUUUUUUGUAUUCUCUCUCUCUCUCUCUCUCAUGCGGUCAAUUUGAUCAAUUCAAGACUCAUCAUCUUUCGUGUCAAUAAACCAAAACACUGUCUUCAUGCAGCAUGCGCUCAAUUUGGAGCAUCUACACAUAUACAUACAUACAUACAUUACAUCAGCAGUGUACGUACGUGUACGUAUGGGAUAAUGAAAUGAACAAAGUACGUAUACAUAUAGUAGGAGGGAGGGGAGUUUGUUUGAUAUUUUCCAUUCUCUUAUCCCAGGGCAGGCCUAGACUAAGGGGAUCUCUUACUUCUCCAUUUAUUAAAAUAUACGAGAAAACAAGUGUUGUUUGUCUUUAUAUUGUUUAGUUAGAUCCAUCAUGACAUAUAAUUAUAAUCAGAUGAUGAUAUUUCUCCUUCUAAUUAAUUAGAUCCCCUAAGGCUAACUUUAUAAGCUAUUUAUUUGAUUACUGAAAUAUCAAUCUUAUCCUUUGGUUGACCAGAAAGAAACCAUAUCCUAGAACCCAGGCCUAAAGCCACCCUAGAUUGAGAAAACUCGAGUACGGCGGUGGCCAGCUGCCCGACCUCUUGUCAAUCCCAUUGGCACCCCUACACCCUACCACAUGGGAUUUGAGCUCCAAAAGUUGUUCAUUUCCCCAGUUAUCUAAAGAAGAUUGAAUAAAUAAAGGGUUAAUCGUUUUAUUAGCACAUGAAUUUAAAUUCGAUUUCCAUUUGAGUCUCUCAAUUUUCAAAAUCAUUUUCGUGGUCCUUUAAUUUUACUUUCGUUAGGAUAAAUGAUUAUACUGUCAAUUUUGUUAACUUUUUCUGUUAAAUGUAGGAGUAAAAUUGUAUUUUUAUAUUAAAACAAAAAAUAAUAUCUUUAAAAUAACAAUAAAAUCAAAUAAAAUAAAAAACCAACAACAACCAAAAAAAAGUUUUGGGGAACAGGAUAGAGGGUGAGGGAGAGAGUUUAAUUUUAAUUUUUCAUUCAUAUUUUAAUCAAAUUUGAUACAAAAAUACCAUUUUGCCGUUGCAUUUAACAGAAAAGUUAACAAAAUUGACGGAAGAACCAUUUGUCAUAAAGAAACUAAAGUUGAAGGACUACGGUAAUGAUUUUGAAAAUUGAGGGACUCAAAUACAAAUUUGUAUAAGUUCAGAGACUAAUAAAAUAAUUAACUUAAUAAAUAAAUAAAUAAACACACGUGAUGAAAAAGGUGUAAACGUGCAAGGAGAGAGUGUAUCUACGUACAGGGGCGUGUAUCCGAUUCCUAAGGAAAUAUGGAUAUUAUUAACGGCUACAAAAAUCUAUCUGUCUUGUUCUUGUAUAGCCACGUAGACAGAUAGGAACCUUUUACAAUUACACAAAGUUUAGGGACACUUUUUACAAUUUUACAAAAGAAAAUUCUUAAGCAUAUCCCUUCCUUUUUUUUUUUUUUGGUUCUUCUUAUUAUACGGAAAGGAAAAUUACAAAACAAAACCUUCAGGGCAAGGAAGCCGAAAGAUGUCAGUUCCCUUCCAUUGGAAAAUUUGAAUAAGUACAAAUUAACCUGCAAUGUUGCAUGAUAAAUUCAUGCUGGUGUCGUGUUUUUGUAGAAGUUAGUUUGAUUAGUAUUACAAAAUUAGGAUUUGUAUUUGGCCUGGUGACUGGUCAAAUAUCACAUAAUUUCUAAGAGCCAGCAGAGACGCUGAGGGUUCUCCGAAUUUUUCAAAAGUCGGCACCGUCUUUCUAAGUUAGGCCGUGGCCGUCGUCGCCAUGGUUACAGGCUGCGUCUCCACAGACAACUCUACACUAGUGCACACCUAGAGAUUAGAAUGAGAAUCGCUGCUGUGAUAUGAUAUGACUAUCUCAUUAUCUUCUUGGGAUGUCUAAGUCUUGUCCUUUCUCACAAUCACAGCCGUAGAUUCUUGGUUGAAAGCCGUAUUCCAAAUAUUACAAAGCAGGGUCUACGGUCCAGAUUUCACUAGAGUAUAUACCCUUUUGUCUCCUUGUUUAACUUGUCUCUGCAGGUUUGGGGAGCUGUUUUAUUAUUCUUUUGCCUUUGAAUGUUAUGAUCUGGUUGACUUUGAAGGUGUUUGAGUUUGACAUAAAGGCCUCAAUAGUCCAACAGGAAACACAAUAGUAAAGAGAGUUUGGCUUUUGACUACAUCUUCAAGACAAGAGAGAGGAGAGAGAGAGAGAGAGAGAGAGAGAGAGAGAGUUUUGGCGAAUUGGUGGGUACCUCAACCUGCAGACAUCCUAUUCAUACCUAAAGCUAUUGGGAAGGAAGGAAGAAAGCAAAUAGAAUUUAGAAUUAUGGGUUUCAGUGGGAAUCGGAUUAAUUACCAAACGUAGCAAAAAAAAACUAAAUCAACCUGUCCGUCUGUAAAUGUAAUGCCUAAACACAGGAAGCAUUAUUACUAUUUCAAAUAACUAUGGAUCUGUCUGUUCAUCCUGUAAGCUGCAGGUAGAUUGAAAAAGGGUUAGGUCCCUUUGUUUGUCCUAUACCCUUCAAACUCGGAAAUAUUUUUACUCACAACUUUAAUCUAAGGUGUAUUCUCACUAUUCUUCUUAAUACUUGGCAAUGUCAUAUUUAUACAUAUGCACACAUGUCAAAUAUUAAAAAAGAUGGUGAGAAUAUACAUUGGGUUAAAAUGGUAAGUAAAAAUACUCUCUUCAAACUCACCAACCACAAUCCCUAAAAUGCGUUAUGAUUCAAUUAACCAAUAAAUGAACUGAAAACGGAAUUUAAACCUGGGUUGAAUUUCAAAUGAAUUGCCAUGUGCCAUGUGACUAUCUUUUUUAUGUUUUUGUUGGGGUUGUUGGUUUUUUAGCUGAAAAAAGAAGAUAAAAAAAGAUGCUAGCUCGUUAAAUGCUGCCAACCCAUUUCAAAAGAGGGGACCAAGCAAGCAGCAUCGGAUUGAAUAAAAUCCUUUUAUUUACUUGAGUUCAAUCAUGCGAUUUCAAGGCCUAUGCCAGAUUGAAUCAUAAAAAUGGUUGGUCUUGGUCCUUUCUUUCUCACAUAAAACACUACUAGACUAGACUACUAGGCUUAGGGUAAAAGAAAAGAAGAAGGUGGUCCAAUAAAUGCUGGCGUACCUACAAUUACAACACUGUCUCAUAUCGUCUGCUCUACAAUGCUCUAUACAAUUGUAACAUCACAAAGGAAAAAUCUACUCAUUUUUGUUGUAUUUUUUAACCACCUUAUUAUUUUGAGUUCAGUCAAAUUUAUUCUUAUCGCGGUAAGUUUUUUGUUUCACCGUCACUUAUGUGAGUUGCAAAAUGUCGAUUUUGUUCGUGGAUUUUUCUAAGAAAGACAUGCGAACAACAAUUGUUUCUUUAUAAUAUUGCAUAUAUGAAUUAUAUAUUCUUACAAAACAAACAAACAACAUACAGAAAGGGUGAAAACGUCAUUUUGGUAUGUAAAUACUUUUCUUUGGUUAAAUUACAAUACACGUGAUCUAAAUAAAUAUUUGACUUCAACUUCUUUCAAUCAACUUUUAUUUUAUUUUACGUGUGGAAAUUAAAAAAAUGUAAGGGGGGCGCCCUGCUGUGGCGAGCAAGGUUGAGUGCCCCAAACCAAGACUGAGAAAUAAUAAUAUUUUUUACGAGAGAGGACAAAUGAAUAAUAUAAUUUCAUGGCGAGGGCGCUUUCUGAUAUCAUAACGACGUUGGCGUAUAUAUCAGAAGCAGAAUUGAAUUUUAUGAGAGAGAGAGAGAGAGAGAGAGAGAGAGAGAGAGAGAGGUCAAAGCUUGGGAAGCAGUUGGUUGGUUGGUUGUAGUAUGCUGCUACUGCUGCCAUAGGGGUAAUGAUUUAGAGAGAAGGUUAAAAAAAGAUCAGAAUUUCGGAAGCUCGUGAAGAUACGUUUGUGUGUGUGUGUGAGAGAGAGAGAGAGAGAGAGAGAGAGAGAGAAUUUUCUAUAUUCUUUUGUUUUAUAUUAAAAAUUCUAUAAAUUAAUUAAUUAAUAUUGGGUUGACACAGUGCAAGGAAGGAAGGUGUGCCAACAAAGAAAUAAACAGAAGGUGCACAGGAAUACCCCACUCGUACAAGCAGCAGGGAGCAGGGAGCAGGGGCAGCUAGUAAAAAUAGUAGCAAUAGCAAAGAGGUAUUAUCAGACUCUUUAAGGAAUUUACAGACCUUCUCAGCUCGUCUUAUCCUUUUCUCGUGAUCUCUCUCUCUCUCAUACUGGCCUUAAAUUCCUCCUCUUUCUUUGAAAUCCCUGCUGUGCCUACAAACCGACACGCUUCCAAAGGGUUUGAAACUUUCAACUUUAGAGGAAGAAGAAAAAGGAUAUAUGUUUUCUACAAGUAGAACAAUACCAACCCAAGUCUUAGGGGUCUGAAGGUUGCAAGAGUUUUUUUAUCAGGGGAUUUGGAGAAGACCCAGGUAGCUCUGACAUUUUGUUAACAGCAACAAGUAAUUAAGGAGAGAAUUAUCUAGGUUUGGAGGACCCCUCUUUGGAUUAAGAGGGGGUUUUGAUAGGAAAAACAAUUGUUAAGGAGGAAAAAUGACUAGUUGUAGUGCAAGGAACGGUGCUGUGAGGCAGUAUGUAAGAUCAAAGGUGCCUCGUCUGAGAUGGACCCCUGAGCUUCAUCACUGCUUUCUUCAUUCCAUUGAGAGGCUCGGAGGCCAUAAAAGUGAGUAAUAUCAUAACCAUCUUGUCUUAACUUUUGUUUCUUCGUCUUCUUUUGAAAAUAGAAAUGAAAAGUUUCUUAUAUGUUUCUUCUCUCUCUCUCUCUCUCUCUCUCUCUCUCUCUCUGCCCCCCAAGAGGCUACACCAAAACUUGUUCUUCAGUUGAUGGAUGUCAAAGGGCUCACCAUUUCUCAUGUCAAAAGCCAUCUCCAGGUUUUGUAUUUGUCUUUCUCUCUCUCUCCUGAUGGUUCGUCUAGUCUUUUAACUGCUUCUGUUCUUGUAAGCUAUACGUUAAAAUGUUCAUUUUCUUUCAUACUUUUCUUUAUCUGUUUGCCUUCUCCUUCUUUUGAUCAGAUGUACAGAAGCAUGAGGGGCGACCUGGGUACUAGACAACAAGGUAUUUAUCCAACUUCUUCACAGCCCUUUAUUAAAUUUGUUUUAUUUUGGCUGAUUUCUUGUAAAAGCUUUCUUCUUUUUACAUUUUCAUGUUUGUAUUUUAUCCUCUACUACUCCUGGUCUAAUAUGCAGUUCUGGUAGACUAUCCAUUUGUUUCCUCUAAUGGCCCGUGCUCAGGGCCAGUAUAAACGCCCGUGAUAGUAUAAAAUGAGACUCUACGGAUGCAGCAUCACCUCAUUUAUUAUGUGUAAUUCCUUGUAAUAUUUAUUGCUUAGUUGAUGCCCCAAAUGGGUGAUAGAGAAAGUGCACCAUUAUUCUUUCCGGUCUUCUCGUAUUGGCACUUCUCAUGAAAGUGAAAAUACAAACACCUCUCAGUCCCGAACUCUGCCAUAAAAUUCUCGAAAUGUCACUUGGGACUUAUUUAUUUUGCCUUUACUGUUGCUUUUUUUUACUUCUCUCUUUCUCGCGUUCUGUCUGAUGAUUUUUCUGGUGCUCUAGUGACAGAUAGGAGUUGCACGCAACCAAGAAAACAAUUGUUUGAAGAGCAUGAUGAUGGGUGUCUUGAUGAAUUAAAUGGUGUGAGUUUUUACCCAUCUUCCAAAUCUAUCAGAGAAUCAGAUUCUCAGCUCAUCUACAGUACUCCCCGCCGUUCAAAAAGGUUAGUCUGCACCUACAUACAUGUACUCUGCAGGCACUCUUUCUUUUUCUUUGUUUUGUUUUGUUUUUGGGGGAAGGGGUGGUGGGUGAAGGUGCUCAGAUGAUGUUUCAGGCUUCUGAUCAAAUGUCAACAAAGUAAGUAAUAAAGAUGGUGUGAUCAGAAACAAACAAAAAGGAAUGGCAUUGCAUUGCAUGAUAUCUUUGCUUUUUCUGAACUCUGCUUUCUUGUUCUAGAUAUAUAUAAUAUAGUAUAGGGUUCUUUUCUUAUAUAGUUAUAUAUAUAUGUAUAUAUAUGUUCUGCUUUUUGUCUGAUUUGUCUCCUUCGGUGGAUCAGAGCUAGAACCGAGACGACGAGUUCAAUCUCAGAGGGCCUGCAGCAGCAAUGCAGCCAAGGAAUAUAUGAGACAGUCUCAAAUCCGUACUCUUUUGAUGAUAAUGUGUUGGCAAUGGCUCAACAACAGCGUGGGGGAUUUAAGGAGCCUAACCCCUCAGCCUUGUCUCUGCCACAACCUCAUCUUCAUUACAACUUCAACCACCCCUCCUCCCAAUUUUCUCUGCAAGAAUCUGACUUCUUCAAGGUACCUAACACUUCUCUCUCUCUCUCUCUCCCCAACUUCUUUAACAAAUUUAAAUGUAGAGUUGUUGAGUGUAAAGUUGGUUUUUGCUUUUCAAGUUUCAACCAAAUUUUCUUUGCACGAAUCCAGACAUGUCCUUCUGAGUAUGACCAGCGAUGGCAUGGAUGGAAUGUCCAUUACCUUUUCUUUUGAAGUCAACCUGCUUCACCUCUAUUGCCUAAACAGUAGUUCACCACUUUUGCGUAGUGUUCAAUAAUAUAUUUUCUGUAUUAUUUUAAAUGGGUGAAACCUCUUCUUUAUAAUAUCCUUGUUUCACUUUUUUAUUCUCCUCCUGGGUCCUGGCCUUUAAGACAAGAGUGUGGAAAAGUUUUCAAAACUAGCUAUAAUAUAAUUCUUCAAUCAUAUAAUGUCACAUUGUUUCCUCUCCGGCUCUUUGGUUCUUCCGUUCACUGUGUUUUUUAAUUAAAGUUAAAAUUCAUUUUCUAAUGACCCGAUUUUUUGUUUUCUUCACCCCAUAAUGAUUUCUCUACAAAAAGUAGUUGGGUGCAUCAUUUCAUUUUGAAACAGGAGACAGACUGCUUUUGGUUUUGCAAGUAAUCGUCUACUCUAUUUAAUUUCAAGAUCUACCUAGCUACUGUUGAUUUGUCGUUUACAUGAGUUGCAUUGUAUUUUCUAUUUUGUAUAGAAACAUUGUUGCACAGAGGUCUUUGGUUGUUGCUGAAAACUCUUACAUUCUGUGGUCCAAUUCUGAUUCGUGUAUAAAUAGGGGACCCCUCCCCCCUCCCUCCCUCCAGACCACCUUAUGAGUGCCCAAACAGCAAAUUCAAUCAAAAUGUUAAUUUUUUUUUUUUUUUUUUGGAUUUGGGUUUGUGACAGGUUACCAAACCAGAGGCAAGAGCAGAUGCUGAUCAAGACAAUGAAGACGGUGAUUGUCAACUAUCACUCUCUCUCUCAUUACAUCAUCCUUCUUCCCACAAGAGUAAGAGUAAUGCUUCUUCAAGUGAGUUCAGUGGUGCAAUCUCAUCAUAUUCCUCCUCGAGGUCCAACUAUAAAGAUUGCUCCACCUCUUCUUCUGGGAACCAUCGCAGUAUUAAUUUAAAUCUUUCCAUUGCCCUCUGCGGUAAAUGAUUUCACUGUAAAAAAGAGUAAUCUGUUUUGUCCCAGUAGUAGAUUAUUUCAUGCCCUUACCGCAUUUGUUGGUUCUUUCUGUUCUUUGUUCUUUGUUCCUAGUUAAUUUAUCUUUACUUCUUCUUCUCAUCGAGCUACAUAGUUAAUUAGUUGAGUGAGUUCCACUUUUGAUUCUUCUAGAACAGCAAAGAGUACAUCUUUAUGAAAGAACUCUUUUUAAGUUUCAAAUUUCUUACAAGAUUAUCCUUCUUCACGGUAAUCUGAUGCCACUUCUAUGACAUAAUAAGACAGCGGCAUUUGGAACCUUUGUCUAACCGGAGUUCAGCCAAUCUAUCUAUGUACGACAGAAAAGACGUAAGAGUUGCAAACCUUAAUUAUGUAUCUAAUUGGUCCAAGAAUUUUAUAGAGAGCGUGAAGCCCAUGCCCAUUUGUACGGAGUUAAUUGUGGGUUGGAUUUGUAGAGCAUCAUGGGCCGGCUCAACUAGCUAUGAUACGGACCCACUUUUGGUCAUCGCCAUGCUCGCAAUGUUGUGGAAAUCUUCUCUUGUAAUCUCAAAUCUAAUAAUGACAACUUCAUGGCAAAGUUUAGGAGCGAUACAUUGGUCCAUUGCAUUUGCCCUGUUUCCUCAGCGCAGACAUACCCAAAACAAGUAGUAGCAGUAAACACUACAGAAAAAAAAGAAAAGAAAAACCAACUACAAAACUGGAUAGCUGUUGCUGCUGUUGGGGUCCAAUCAGUUGGGAGCAAAUUUUAUAGCACAUCUAACACCAGCUACAAAGUCAGUCAAUACACUGUUCCUUUUCAUGAUCUUCCAAUGUCUUCCCCCAAAAUUAGGUCAUGGCGGAAGUUAUAAGAUGCUUUAAUCCUUGUUAAUUCUUUUUGCCCUUUGUUUUGGUAUCAGAAACCAGUGCCUUGAUGCAUAAUCGUGGCUUCACGCUUACGACGUUUCGAGGAAGAACUGAAACAGCAACCACUAAGGACUCUUUGGGUACACCAGAGAGGGGUAGUAGCUCAAUUAGGACAGCAAGCUGUAAAUGUACUCUAAUAGUUAGAACAAAUUGAAAAUGACAUGCCAAACUAAUAAUUUGCUUAUGAAUUUGGGACAAAGAGGAAGGAAUUCUCACCUCUGGAGAUUUGAGGUCCACCACUGAAUCUGAUACAACACCUGUGACUGCAGAAGCCACUAUUUCAAAGCAUUUGUCACGGUCCAACAAAACAACCGCAUUUGAAGCUUCUUUGGAAGUAUUCAGUUCUGUUUCUACCCCUCUUCUGUUAUACCCAACUGCAAACUACAGAAUCACGUAAAAAUUUCAUCUUACGGAAAAUAAUAUAACCCGCAUAAAAUAAUUAAAUCCAUUUUCUAGGUUGCCCAAAAGAAUAGUAUAUCUUUUGAUGAAUUACUAACGUUGAUGCAGUGAUAGAGGAUAUAACAACCUUUAUGGGCCGUGCAAGUUUCUGAUUAUUGUUCAAAAAUUGAAGAACAAGCUUUGAUACAACUUCAUGCAGUUCCUUCUCAUUCAAACUACAAGUAGCUUGGAUAGGGAAAAUGCGAUGACACCAACUGCACCAACGAACUCCCAAUUCUUAGGCAAGCACCAAUUUUUGGCCACAAAGGGAAAAAAUGAUCACAUGUAUUACUGGAUCCUUCAUAGGAGGAUGUCAAAAAAUUUAAACUUCAUAAAUGAAUACUGAGUGCAAAACCAAUUUAGAGCUGAGGCACAACCUCAAAGUGGGUUAUAGGUGAAAAAAGUCUCAAAGUACAAACAAAUAAAAAAAUUAUAAUGUCAACAUUUCUAAUGACAGAGAAAUACUGAGUAAAUAUAGUUUCUUUUAGUAGGUAAAGCAUGGCAUAGAAAACACAACAUAUACGAAGCAUAAUACUAGGUAACAACUGGUGAAAACAUCUAAGAUUCCAUUAUUGGGAGAAAUUAUUUCGAAAAAAGACACAGAUAAAAAGUUUUAAACAAAUUAAGCACAACUUGCAUUAACUGUUUCUAAGAGAAAAUAUGAUACGUGAGAAACAGGCAAAUUAUCUACUCACAGGGGUGAACCACAACUCCCGGAUUCCACAGAAUGCAUAAUUUUGGAUACAGUAUCAACAACGUCAGGAGAAGUGCUUUUGGGGAAGGUAAAGAGAAGCAAACCACUCUUUGUAAGCUUAACCAGCGAAAGAAGAGGGCUUGUGUCUCCUUCCGCAUCCACCUUCGCAGGAGGCAAAGGAGGACCCUCUUGAACAUCAUCUGCCAUAGCCAUUAUGAUUACAAACAAGUCAUAUCACAAAACAGAAGCUCAGCAUCUAAUUGUAUAAGAAGUAAAAGUAAAAGCGAUACCAUGCGCGUCCCCAGAGUUAGCAGUAGCCUCCUCGCCAUCUGUAUUCUCUUUGGAAAGCUUCCUUCUUUUAGAAACGGCUUCUUCUUCUGAACUGCAUCUAUUAAAGCACUGAACAUACUGAAAACAUAGACAUAGAAACAAAUUGUAAACAUAAUUCAAAUCCACAUAUAAAGCAAAUAAUCAAUCAUGCAUUAUACUAUAUAUCAUCCCUUCAAGGCUUUGUGCGAGUUUACCUUUGCAAGGAGGGAGAUUGCUUCUUUUGUGGCGCUUUUCUCCCUCUCUGAUAAAUUGAUUAUAGCAGAAAUAAAAAGGAAACUUCAUUUCAGAAUCAGUGGGUUUGUGGGGGUUAAAUUAGGGAGAUAGAAAUUAGAAAGAGAAAGAGAAAGAGAGUGACAGACUAAUGGGGCAGGUGAUGAGGAAGCCAGAGUGGGAGUGUUGGAGAAGAGAAGAAGGGGCGUUGUAGUCGAAGCGAGGGAUGCUGAUUACAGUAGAGUGUUGCUCCCAUGGUGCCAUCUCCUCUUUCUUACUCAGCUCCCUCUCCUUCUCCUUCUCUCUUUCUUCUUCCGCCAUUGCCCUUCUUCUGUUCUGACUUCGGAGACCGAUACCCAAUCUCUGUUCGAACCAACUUCAACUCUUUAUUUUCUCGAGUGUAUGUGUGCCCUAAUUCCUAAUAAUUGGACUCUUUUUUAUGUUAUUGUUACAAAAUUUGUUUAUUAAUUUUCUAACCAAUUUCUUUCAUGUCUAUUAAUAUUCAGAUUUUUUUUUUUCAUAUUUAUAAAUGCAAAGAUUGUAUCAACAUACUGAGAGAAUUAUUAUAAACUAAUUUUGUGCAUUUCUUUUUUCUUAUUUUCCUUGCUUUUUUUUUUCUUCGCUUUUUUGAAAGAAAAGAUGUUACAUCUGACUGCUUGUGCAAUGGAAAAAACAUUUGUGAGACUUUGCAUAUAUAUUUUUUGUAAUACAAACGGCAGCGCAAUCUGCAAGUUAUGGUACAAACAGAAACAGAGAGUAACAGGACAAAUUUGAAAGGUUGGCAUUGCUAAUCGAAUCCAUUAAAUCACUGGUAUUAAGUUAAGUAUUCAGACCAAAAAAAAAAAAGUUGAAGUGAGCAUAGUGAUAUUAAAACCUCACACACAGUAAUGCUCUUCUGUUAGCUUAACAGUGUGCCACGUUAUGUUAUCCUGUGAGUCUGACUGAGAUUGCUAAUCAAAAUGGUUGAUGUAAAAUUGCAUUGCACCAGCAUUAGCUACAGACUUGAUCUUCUAUAAUUUAUCAAUUCACUAUUUUCCGGCUUUUAAGUUUGAGGGGAUGGAUCUAUUAGUACAAGUGAAAGAGGCUUAUACAACAAUUUAAACACAAGGGAUGUAUAGGAUUUACUUCUAUUUUAACAUUUACAAUUGGAUAUAAACUAAAACAAAUCCUCACACCAAAUCUCGGCUCCGUUUUUGUUUGCAUUCUGCACUGAUAAAUUAUGUGAUGGGCAAAGGGUGCAUUUCCAUAGCAAGAAGCUGACCUUCUUUUCCUCUUUUCGAUGAAAAGCUUUUGAAAGCCCUCAAAUAGCCCUUUUCUUUUACACCCGGUCAAUUUGCAUCUCUUCUUCGAAUUCCACGAUUGCCCUAGCAGGAAGAUACCAAAACUUGUAACAAACACAAGAAGCUAAAUAAUCACAUCUUCAUUUGAAUUUGCCGAUGGAUGUGUAUUAGAAACUCGAUAUAAGAGAGGCCAUUCAAACUCUUGUCUUCUACGAUAUAUGAGAAGAAGAGCAUCCCUGCGAAACAAGAACAGAAGAUUUAAUUCACAUCAACCAAAAACAUUUAUCUAAUACCAUAAUAAUUUUACAUCAGAAUUAUUGUUUUGUCAUAUCCCCUCUGACAACAGUGACUGAAAAAAUUGAAGCACAACAUCUCUGCUUCUCAUACUACAGUAAAUAAGGGAAAACGAUGCGGCUAUCACAAAGAGUGAUUGACGGUGUGCAACAAUUAGGCCAAAAAUACUGUAAGUUAUACUUGGCCUGUUUGUUGAUAGCUUACAUCAAAGUUUCAUAGUAUUUACUAUUGCAGAAUAAAAGAGAGAUUUGGGGAAGGGGUGAUACAUACAAAGGGAAAAGGGAAAUAGUCUCAUUAACAUGAACAAAAAAAGAAAGGAAUAAAGUUUAUCAAAGGGGAAUUGAAUAAUGUGGAUACUGUUUUAAAUCAAAAUUUUAUGCAUAGUGGCUGUCAAGUAGCAGAUGUAGUCUAGUUUAUAUUAAAGGGAUGUUCUAAGUUGUAAUGCACUGACCUGAUGGAUCUCCUUUCUUGCAUAAUUUCAAGCUGUAAGAAAAUAAUGAGGAUUAUAUUAGACUUACAUCAGAUUGACACAUCAUUGAAUUACAAACAAAUUUUUUUUUUACCACAAGAAACUUUUUUCUUUUGUUAGGCAUAUAGAGCAGCAGGUUGCCCUGGCUAGAACAAGGGUCAUCCCUGCGAAAAUGAGCUUGAUUACCACCUGGCUGGUCCAAGGGGUCUAAAGAAGCACCAACUAGCUCUUAUUCUGGUGGUACUUACCUUCCCAGUGUUGGAAGAGAUACCAAGUUCGAAUCUCCCCUUCCCCAUUAAAAAGAGAAAAACAGGGUCUAAAGAAGCCAAAAUACAAGGUAACAGAAAGAAGCAUACCGGAGGUAUGAACAUCUUUGGCGUCGAAUCUCAUUUAUCAAAUCAUUUAGCUUCUUUGAGAAUGGAUUGUCAUGCUGCUGCAGCACAAACUGUGUAUGACAAAAAUAAUAGCCAUCAAAUGAAAAUUCUUCGAUCAGGAAGUAUAUCUGAGAAUGCAGUUUGCAAUUAUACAACAUGUUUAACAGGCAUCACAAUAACCGAUGAAUGAAAUAUUUAGACCCGGAUGAGUAUCCAUUCUUAAUUACUGGGCCAACUAAUUUUAUGCCUUUAAUUUGUUUCUUAUAAUAUACAACUUAAUCCUGUCUUCAAGAUUUUAAGCAGAUUCCUAAUUUGUCAAAUUGAUAGCAGAUACUAGACCGAAUUACAUCAGACGAAUGAAGUUUGGGUCGUCAAUGAGGUGCUCAACUCCUUGGAACCAAGAGUCAGAGGCAAGUUCUCGCCAGCCAUGAAUAACAAUAUUAGGCAGACAUUAUGUAUAGAACGACUUGGCUUAAGAUGUACCUGAGUAGGAAUUUCAUCAACUGAGGAAAUUCCAAACAGCUUAGUCAACAUAUCUGGAUCAACUGAGUUCCCAAUAUAUAUUAAACAAUCCUCUCCAUUCUCAAGAAGAUAAAUUCCCUCAUCACUGAUAUGCUCACUAGAAAGUGGAAUUGCAGGAGGAAAAGGAGAUUCAUCUGUCUGUCAAUCAACAAAAAAGUUACUAGUUGUUUUAUUUUUUUUGGGGGGGGGGGUGUGUGAGGGAGACCAUAACAAAGGGGAAAAUAUGAAACUUUAAGUAAUGUGGAACCAUUCAGAGUUUCAGACCUUAGAAAGAAGGUCAUGGAUUGCCACCAUGCGUGGAUACACAAGUGCUAUUGCUAAAGGAGUAGAAACAGAAGAAACAUAAUUGAUCCAAAAAGACCGUUCAUCUAAUUUCCCAGCAGCUCGCAAUCCUGUGCUUUUAGUUAAUGCUGAAAAGAAUUAUAAAUAAAUAAAAGAAACACAUUUAUCAAAACAUGUACAAACUUCUAGAGAAGCUGACUUAUACUUCAAUUACUGCUAAUAUGCUUAAUACAGGAGUCUUGCAAAGCAUAGUCCAUGCAUUCGAAAUAACAAGAUACAUUAUAAAACAUGAAGGAAAUAAAUGAAAAUCCUGAGUUUAUUUAAUUUUGGAGGAAGAAAAAAAAAACCAUAGUUAUCUCCACAGAAGUGUUAAAUAAAAGAUGCAGCUUCAACAAAAUACAUCUAGUAUAGUUUUAUGACGUAUAAGCUUACAACCACAAAAGAAGACACCAAUGAAGAAUAAAAGAAAAUACCAAGGAUGUAUAAAGGUAGAAGCUUAAGUGUCUCUGGAAGAACAAGUUGUCCAGACGAUGAUACUGUAGCACAAAAUUUCCUAUAAGAACACAGAAUCCUGAUGCAACGAUCAGUCAGUCGUUCACGGACUUGCAUGAGCGGGCAAGAAGGGAUUUCAAUUGCCGCUACAGAAAGAAAAUUACAAAGUAAAUUGUAUCAUUUCCCAGAAAUCAAAUAAUAGCUAUACGGCCAUGUAAGAGUUUAAAAAGAGGGCAGUUCUGGUACAAGUCAGUUCAAAAAGAAAGAGAGAAAAAUCCAUGGUACAAAGGCUGUAAAAACAAGAUUGUAAAGAAAAUGGUACAACCAAAUACCUUGCUUCAAGAUACAAGCAAACUGGGUAUCUAAGUCAGCUGUACGGAAAAGAUUAUUCAGCAUACUUGUGCAUGGAAGAGAUAAUGUUGUAACUCGAAUUCUUCUUUGGCCAUACAAAGUGGUGUACAGAAGUGCACACUGGACAAUGGAAAGAACAAUGUCAUUAGAAGUAACAUAACAAUCAUUUUCUUUAACUGUGAUUAUGGGAAGCUUGCAGAGAUAUACGGACAAGAUACUCCUAGAAGGUAAAACCAGUUAGUACCUGAAAUGCACAUUCUGAGCCAUCCUGCAAUUUAUCAUCGUGUUUUAUGGUUACCAUUAUAGUUUUGUCACAGUCAAUCUGCACAAUAUAAGGAUGAGUUAAGGUUUCGCAAAUUACUGGCCUCGGGUAUUAGCCACAGCUCGUAUUCAUUACAAAGCUAACAACAUAAUCUAAAGUACCACUCAAAUAAAUGAAUGAAAACCAAAAACAAACCAGUAAUCAAGAUGGAAUAGUUAUGGCAAAUAUAGAAGAGAAAUAAUUAAUUUCAUCUCAUUGGUUUGUAAUACACGAGGUUUUGGGCGUCAUUACUAGUCAUUACUACUUUUUUUUUUUUUUUUUUUUUUGGGUAUGAGGUAAUGUGUACCACAGCCAUAGUAAUUUUGAGUUCAACGAUAAUACAUGCAAUGCUAAUGACACUUACAUUAACUUUAAAUUAAUUCAAUCAACAUUUUGAUGCUAAUAUGGGUGGGUCAACACAACGGAUUUCUCAUUCCAUAUCCAUGGUGGAGAAGAUAGAUUCAAAGAUGUAGCACAUGCGUAUAUUGAUGUAUUAAUGUAUAUAAGUAAGUGCAUUUGUGUUGUAUAACAUACCCCAGGUAGGUCGACGUCAGUAGGAAUGCGUUUGCAGAAGUUCCCAUGGUACUCCUGAACUCGGAGACCCUAUGGUAGAUUAGGAAGAAAAGUUUACUUAACAGUACAGAUAAAAUUAUAAGUAACUAUUUGCUAUACGCUAAAGGCAAGGAUGAGAAAGUGAACAUCAGUGCUCCAAAAAGGUUACCUGGCUGCAUCUCACACGCAUCACUGCCUCAAAACCUUGAGGCCUUGUGACAUUCCAUCUAAGGUCAUUGUAGAUCUUUGCAGAGUCGGCAACAGCGGAGAAAGGGUAAUAAUAAUAGACCUGGAACAAAGAGGAAAAGAAACAAAGUUGAAACCUGACAUUCUAUAAUAACAAAAAAAAGACCUGGAACAAGGAUGUAAAAUCAAAUCAAUAUAUUCUAUAAUGUAAUGCAAGAAUAGACGUUUUUGGUACCUGGCCACCAGUAAUUCUUGGGAUGACAGACAUAGAAGCUAUGUCUAUGUAAGUCUGGGUAGUGAUAAAAAUAUCAACACAGACCUGUAACAUGUCAAGACAGAGACAAUUAGCCCAAAUAAAUUAUGCCCAUCAGCAUUUAUAUCUACAAAUGCCAACAAUAACCAAGAACAAAAUUCAGAAUUAUAUCCAACUCAAAUAAAAUGCAAACAGAACACUUAACGUUUUACCUGAUACUCAGCAACUUCCACUGCCAUUGUUUUUAAAAUCUUUUCAGCUGGUUGAAGUAAUUUAUGGACCUCCUGGUGAAAAAGAGACGUUCAUAAACAUGAGGAUAAUCUUCUGCCAGAACAAAUGGCACUACCACUAGACUAAUGUCAACAUGGAAGACAGCAAGUAAAGGAACAAUAUAAAAUCUUGGUGCCUGUAAAGAAGAGAUCACAUUCUUACAUUUCCAAUAGGAGUGCCCAAAAGGCAAGCACUCUCAUUGGAAAGUACAUAAAUAUCAAAAGGGAGUGUCUAGAAGGCAUGCACUGCACAAGAACACUAGCUUAAAAAAACUUUCCAUACAUUCUGCUCUUUAUAAAAUGCAAAACUUUGAGGAAGCUACCUUAAAAAAUACUAAUACAGAAAUACAAAAAACUCAGGAAGCUGCUAGAAAUAAAAACUAAUACAUAAAUAUACACCUUGCCAAAUAUGGAGACUUCAGGCAAGCAUUAAAAGAAAAAUCACAUUGUAGUUCAAAGAUGUAGAGGAUCCAUAUUUCAUACAUACUAUCAAUUAAUAAUUAAAAAUUGAUAUCCUGGACACGCAUUAUGACAUCUAGCAAUUUUGGCAAUUCGAGAAUACUAAAACGAUAUAGUUUUCCAGAAUGCAGGAUUUCAUAGGUAAAGCAAAGGGAUGGAAGAACAUGUAGUUGAAGAAAACCAGUAUAUCAUCUAUUGAUACCUUCUCACCCGCAGAAGUAUUAGUUCUUCCUUCAGCCUCUCUAGCUGAAAGGGCCCCAGUUCCAAUUGAUGGCAUGACUGUAGACCACAUUGGAUAAUUAUUAGAAUAUACUCAAAGGUUGGUUUUAUAAAAGAUUUAAUUCCUAUAAUUCAAAAGGGAAAUAAAAAGAUCCCUUACAAAAAUGAUCAAGAUAAAUAUAGGAUUGCUGUAACAAGUAUUUGGAUGACUUAAACUAGGUCCAAAAAACACAAGGUUGUAAAAAGUAGGUCCAUAAAACUAAAAUCACAUCUGUUUGAACUUGCCUGACUGAAAUACCAAAAGUUUUCCACCGUUACUUUUCAUUGCUAAGAAUGCAGCCUAAAAAGUAUAAAGAAGAUGUUAACAACAUUAGAAAAGGCAUUCUAUAAUUUCUUAGACAUUAAUUAAUGUGAUUAUAAAAUGUGCAAAGCCAAUGAUUUAAAAAUAUAAAAUGAAAACCAGAAAGCCCUAUGUAACAAGAACCAAUGUUACAAUCUUUUUUACUCUCUCUCCCACCAUCUUUAACACACACCCAGACCAAAUACGAGAAUAAAUACCAUACCUUGACUGCGGCACCAAAGGCUGAGUCAGCUGUUUUAUUAUCUUGAAACAGGGAUGGGAUGCUUUCCAAAAGUAGGUCUAAAUGUUGACGGCACUGGAUCCAUGUCAGAAACAACCGAAGACUUAAUAAAAAAAUCAUUUGACUUAUCUGGGUUUGCAAAGAUAUUGCCUUACACAUAUCAACAGCUGUACUAGAAAACACAACAAAACUGAACUCUGAAGCUAACCUCAGAAAGCUGAACAAUUACAUCAGUCUGCAGAGGAGUAUAAACAUCUUGCACAUCAGGGACAAUGAGCAUCAAUGGCUGCAAAACAUAUCAAAAAUAAACAAGUAAGCAAUCUUCAAUUACAACAUAGGGUAACCACCUAUUUAGAUAAGAUAAUGAAGCAAAUGUUACAUUAUAUUGCAUUGCAGAAGAGAGAAUGAGUGACAAAGUUGAUUGUGAAACACAACAAGAAUGGUAUUAUGCAAGAACGCAUUUUCCUUUCCCUUUCACAAAUUGAUAGGACAUUAAUGCUAAAUAAAUUCACAUGAACAUUACUAUGUAAGCAAAUGUUAAAUACUCCGAAAUACAAAAAAAUUCAGCUCUACAACAAAAUUUUAAAUCUAACAAAGUUAUAUAUUGACCUGCUGUAAUGAACGUUUCAGAUUGUAAAAAUGAAUUGUAGUGUCAAAUGUUGCAAUCCCCACCAUCGUCCUAGGUCCUUCCUGAAAUAGUAGAAUCAUCAAUAUAUCAGUUGCUAAAGAAGCUAACCCAAUACAAAGGUUCUUGUAGAAACUUAAAAAGGUUGACAUGCUCCAAAACCAAGGUGAAAAGUAAGUUUCUAAUUUUCCAUAAGCAGGUGCAAUUAAAAGCUUCAGUAUUCUGCAAAUAGGCAUAAAACUUACAGGAAGAUCAGAAAUAACUUGACGGAUUGCACUGCAUGCCGCUGCAGUUGCUCCAGUUUGCAUAGCAUUCAUAGAUACAUCAAUAAGGAAGAAAUACAUAGACAGCAUUGGAUCACGCACCUGGAACACGAAAAUUAAGUUCGAAAAGGAAGAUAUUGCAGGUAGUCUAAUCGAAAAAUAAAAGGAGAAACAAAUUGAAGGCAGCCAUUCCCAUGACUAAAGCAAACAGUAGGUCAUAAAGGAUGCAUUCUCAAGGGAGCACGAUGCAUUUUCUUAUUGACAUUUGGCAACUAUAAAGGCAGACUCUUAGUUAAAAUUAAAACUUAAAUCCUCAGUUAAAAUUUAAAUCCUCUAGUCGACUUGUAAGUGUCCAAAGCAAUAUACUGUACAUUGGCUGGGAGUCUGAAACUGCCCUUAAUCUCAAAUCAAAAUUAAACUAGCGAAAUAAAUGUGGAAACCAAACAUGAAUCCGCAUAAAGCUGGAAAAUCUCAUGAAACAACUAACCAUGUAUUCUUUGGAAGCAACAAAUUCAACCAUUCCUCUACAAAGCUCAGGCCUAUCAUCAGAAUCUCUACGCCUACCAUCUGGACCAAGAUUGCAGUGGUAGUCACGGGGAGUCUCAUCAGUGAAUCCUGCAAAUUAAACUAGCACAUGUCAUAAAAUCACAACCCUAUCCACUGUUGACCAUGUUUGUGAUGCAAUAAACAGCCAAGUCCAGAUGCCAAUGAAUAAAAAGUCACAUGAGCAUUCUGGAUACCAGUAACUUGUAGCAACUCUCAUGACUUCAUGAGAGAAUGCAUAUAUUCUUAAAAACUGAUUACUAAGAUCUUGGUGUAUAUAACAAUGUAAAUUGUAAUUUUAUAAAACAAUUGUAAUAAAAUUUUACAGUGUAACAACAAGGACAGUCAUCCUAAAUUGAAGAAUAAACAAGAGCCAACAAGAAAUCUUGUCAAAAGACGAAACCUACAUGUAAACUUUGGGAGAAGGGAGAAGCGAAGAUCAUGCACAAACAUGACAGUAUAUUCCACAUAACACGAUGUAAACGAAAGCAAACACAUAGAGUUGCAAAGAAGGAUAGAAAUAGAUAACAAAAAAAUACAAUGAUAAGUUGUACUAACCACACAAGUUACAUACGAACUGCCUUCCCUGAUCAAUGAACUUCAUGAAAGGAUUUAUGUAGCCUUUGCACCGAGAACAACGAAGAGGACCACUUUCACCAAAAUCCACGACCUGUAUCAAGAAAAGUUUAUUCAACAACACCAAGAAAGAUGACAUUUACACAGAAAUCACAAAAACUAGCAAAGAGAGGGGGGCAAUUCCAAACUUUGUGUGAACCGCCAAAUAUGAAUUUUGACUCAUGGACCAACGGAUAAGUAUGCUGUGAAGUUUACCAUGACAAGCAUAUAGAAAAAAUAGACUAAAGGAUAUUGAUGCAUUACUGGUAUUGGCUCUUCAGACGGUUGAGGAAGGGCCAAGGGUUGGAGCAACAAAGCCAACUGCAUCCCUGAAGUCGCCAAAAGGUCAGCAGUGCAUGGAAUCUGUUGAAAUAGAAAGGAAAUAUGUAUAAAAUAAAAUAAAAGCUGAGAAUAAUUUAUUUUCCUCGCAGGAUCCAACGGAUAACAAUUAUGAAUAUAAAAGAUAAAACGCUUGUUUGUAAUUGAUUGUGACCUGAUUGAUGGUGCACCUCAUAUUACGUGGACUGCAGUUCCCAGUGUCUCUGACAAUGUAAUCACUUGUAGUAGGCUUGAGAAAAGUUACAUUUAGUAAGAGGUGAAAGAUCACUAGACGCUAUAGCAGCAUGCAUGUACAGAAUGAUUGCUGAAGAUAAAUUAUAGGAAGAAAAAGAAAAUGAAGGGCAAUAAGAUUUAACUAAAUAAAUACCGGAGGAGGGUUGGCCUGAUUGCACUGGCGAGUUUCAUGCACAAUCACUGAGGAAUUUGGAAUGGGUCGUGGUAUUUGAUUCGGAUCAAUCUUCGAGGGUCCUGCCACUGGGGCUCCAGUUUGGCCCACAGCAUGUGAUAUGGAAGUCAUAGAUUGAUUUGGCAAUGGUGGUGGCGUUCCAAACAUUCUUUGUUGUUGCAGGGAAGUUGGUGCAGUUUGAGGCGCCUAAAACAAUUCAAAAUAUUUUGCAGUCAGAUUAUUGAGUGAAAAAAAACAAGAAAUGCAUACAAUGUAUGAUAAGCUAGAAUUGUAGUUCAUAAAUAAUGCACUAACCUGUUAUACUUUUAUGAUGAAUGAAAUUUGAUUGGAUCAUGAAUAGCUUACUUGGUUCGGUUGCAUGGACCAAGUUUGUGGAGGAUGAGGUUGUUGUAGACCUUGGGAUGCUACUGAAAAUGGCGGUGGCUGUUGCACUGCAGGACCUGGGUCUCUCCCCACUGAACUGCCCAAUACGGAAUGCAUGGUUUGCGGAGGCUGAGGCUGAGCAAGAGGAGGCGGUGGAGCAAGAGCUGCCGCCAUUGUUGUUGAAGGUCCACUACCAGGUGGGGGAAAACGGGGCAAAAUACCUGGGGGCGGUGCCGGCGGGAAAGCAUUGGUAGGAGGAGGUGGUCUGUAACCAAGUGGUGAAGUAGCAGGCGGCCCUGAAGGCCUUGGUGGACCCACAUAGGGUGGAAAUGAGGGCUGUGAGGAGGGUCCCACUGGAGGAGGCCCCGACAAAGGUCUUCGCUGAGCAGGCCGAGCCAAUGGACUCGGAGACGGUGCUGAUUUAGGAGGAGGGGAAGGUCUAGGUGCCGAGGUGGGCAUCGAAGGCGGUCGAUUGAGAUUCAAAUUUUGCAAAUUCUGCGACAAAGAAUCGGAAUUUGGGGGAAGAACGCUAUGACUAGGGUUGUAAUUGUAAUUAGGGGGUGGUGGACGAUCACCGGGUCUAGGUGGCCCUGGAGGCACAGGAGCUGCCAUCUAGACGAAAUUCAAAACUCUUACAAUCUCUUCUCUUCCCUUUUCAUUCUUUUUAUUUUUCUUUUAUGGAUUCUUCUUCAAUCUUCAUUGUAUGAACUAUACCAACAAAGUUUGAAAAUUCGGUAAACUUAACCGGAACGAAUGGAGCUUUAGGGUCAGUGAGAAAAAACCUUGGACUGAAAAGAAGCUCUGGCGAUGAUUCGGGCUUGAUUUUUUUACCGUUAAUUCGAAAUGUAUUUACAAGCGAAGAAAGAGAGAGAUAAGAUAGGGAGGAAAAGAUCAAAUUCAAAACAGAUUUUAUGGCUUGUAGGAGAAACAAAAUGUUGGGUGUGAGAGAUAAGGGAUAAUAAUGUUGACGGCCGGCCGGAUCGCACUUCCAUCUUCAGAGCCACUUCACAAUUUUUUCCUUUUAAAUCAGGAAAUGGUUGGGUUAGCCAAAACCCAAGUCGUAACGGUGUUUUUUCCACACCUAGAAAAAGGAAAAAGAACGGUUUCCCAUUUUUUAUUUUUUAUUUUAUUUUUUGGUAAACGAUAACGUUGGCAUUUAUCUGCUGUACUUACCGCGUCGGCUAUCGCGACUGAGGCCUUGACAUUGAUGAAUUUAAUUAGUUAAAUUCUUCAGCGACUUGCCAACGAUAACAUGCCCAAAUGCCAAACCAUCGCCUUUGAUGCAUCCGCACCGGAGGCGUCUCCCGCCGACGACGCUCCGUACACUCACCAUUGACUCCGCCGCCGCCAUGGUUCCAGAAUCCGUGGUACUCAUCCGCCGGUUCCUCUUGUUUGUGGCGGUUUGCCUCUCGUGCUUGCUCCUCUACAACGACUCCAAUGCCCUGCGCUUUCUCCCUCGCUUCUCUUCGUCUCCCUCUGUUCUCUUCUCCGCCAACAAUUCCCCUCUCGUGAGUGUACACUGACUCUCAUAUCUACUUUCUACUUUCAAUUUGUGUAUUGCGGUGCUUUCGAAUUUUGUUCUUCAUUUCCUUCAGCUAUUGAAAAUGGGUCUUUUGUGUUGUUCUCAAUUCUUGUGCAUUUCCUACUUGGUGAAUGAAAAGAGUAUACAAUUUAGCUGAAUUGCGUUGUACCUAUUGAAAGCUUGAAACUUGUGUAGGUUAGCGGGCAACAUAGGCUUCAAAAGGUUUUGAAGGAUGCUGCCAUGGAAGACGGAACUGUGAUUUUAACAACUUUGAAUGAAGCAUGGGCAGCUCCCAAUUCAAUCAUCGAUCUCUUCCUCGAGAGCUUUAAGAUUGGAGUUGGCACCCAGAGGCUCCUGAACCAUUUGGUGAUCAUUGCCUUGGAUCAAAAGGCAUUUCACCGUUGUUUGGAGCUGCAUACCCAUUGUUUUGCUCUUAUCACUCAAGGGGUUGAUUUUCGUCGAGAGGCUUAUUUUAUGACCCCUCACUACUUGAAGAUGAUGUGGGCAAGGAUUGAUUUUCUGCGCUCUGUUCUUGAGAUGGGCUACAAUUUUGUUUUCACGGUAAUCUCUUCUGCUACUAUUACAAACCCAUUGGCACUUAAACUUGAUUUUCUCAAUUUGAAAAUUAUUUAUAUGAUACAAUACAACCUGACGAGAAACUUUUAGACAUGAAUUACCAACUUUGAAAAUUAUUUAUGUCACAACCUUCUUUUUGGUCAUAAUUUGUGACAUAACCUGAUGAUAAGAUCUUAGACUUGAAUUACUUUACUCGAAGGUAUGUUUGCCAGAUCUUCUGUGGCUGUGUUGAUUCAUUAUUUAUUUAUCUUAUUACACAACCUCUUGAUUAAGGUAUUCAAGUAUUUAUUGCAAAAUACAUCUGUAAGACUCAGAAAUGCAUACCCCUCUGUAUUUCAUACUGAUUUGGGACAUUUUGUUGUACUUUGAUAUGUUUCGUAUUGAUUGAAAUCUCAUCAACCUUGGUUUUUUUUAUUUAUUUCAAUUCCUUUGUCGUUGGUCUUUCCUCCUCCAGGAUGCUGAUGUUAUGUGGUUUAGGGAUCCAUUUCCACAGUUUUAUAUGGAUGCUGAUUUCCAGAUCGCAUGUGACCAUUUCCUAGGCAGCUCAGAUGAUUUAGAGAACAAACCCAACGGAGGGUUUAACUAUGUAAAGUCCAAUAACAGGUCAAUAGAGUUCUACAAAUUUUGGUAUUCGUCACGGGAAACCUACCCUGGAUUUCAUGAUCAGGAUGUCCUCAAUAUAAUCAAGUUUCAUCCUUCCACCUUUACUAUUGGACUGAGAAUGAAAUUUUUGGAUACUGCUUACUUUGGUGGAUUUUGUGAACCUAGUAAAGAUUUGAAUCAAGUUUGUACAAUGCAUGCAAAUUGUUGCUAUGGUCUAGAUAGCAAGCUUCAUGACCUUCGAAUCAUGGUUCAGAAUUGGAAGCAGUUUAUGUCCUUGCGACCAAAUUUGAAGAGAUAUUUGAUCUUACCAUGGGGGGUUCCGCAGAAUUGCAGGUAAGGAAAGCAAGCACAUAAAGAUAUUGGAUGCCUUGAAUUUUUUUUUUUCUUUUUAAAUCUGAAUUGAUUGUUUCUUAAUACAGUAGCAUACAUCUAUAAUCGCCAUCACUUGUUCAGUGUUUAACCAUUGUUUUCUAAUACGGUUCUUAAUUUUUGUGAAUUUCACUCCAGCCUUGAUUCUCUCCGUCGCUAUGAUGCACCAGAGAGCAAUAAUCCACAUGAUUUGCAAGACUGAAUGGAGCUGUAUAAGUUCUGAAGCCUCUGCCACACAGGUGCUUUCCAGGUUUGAAUGCCAAGGACAUUCGUGGGGAUAAACCUUCUUCGAUGAUAGAAAAUUGUAUUAGUUUGUGGUAAAGGACCAGAGAGAGCCCCAAGGGGGGAAGAGAUCAUAAACCAGACAUGGUGGGGGUUGGAAAUACUUGUAAAGAGAACAGAACCUGGCAUUGGGUCCCUUAGCACUGCUAGGAUUCGCAAAGAAUUUGGAGUAGGUAUCAUUUAGACCAAUUUUCAUAUCUAUUGGUCAGUGAUUUUUGUUCAAAAAAUAUCGAAGGUUUAGGUUUAGUCAAUCUUGUUAUCCAACUGGUAGCAUUUUCUGGAUGCUCCAAUUUAUACUAUGCAAACGGCCGGCAAGUGUUUGUGAGGAUCUUGAUAAGCAUAAUCGUGACUUCAGUAUGCCUCUUUUCAAUGUCAACUGUCGGAGCAAAUUCAGUAAAUAAAUAGUAAAAAGGAAGUUCAGUAUGGCUUCACGUAAUGGUAUUCCCAAAACGACUUGCAAACUUGGCUUUUGUGAAAAAUAUUUUCUAAUUCCUCCAACUGGCAUGCAUUUCAUUCUCUAAUUUAUACCGUGUGAUUUAAUUUAAUUUUUUCAUUUAAACCUAAGUCGAGAGGAUUUGUCUCCGCAUAACGUUUACAAGGCAAUUCUCCAAUGUCAGGCAGUACGACUAACAGAAAAGGAAAUUAGGUAUAUAUCUACUUUUUUCUCCAGUCUCUUUGCUUUGGUAUUUCUAUUCUUCCAGCUUAGAGCUAUUUGCACCAGCAGUAAGCGUAAAACCUUUUUUUAGCCACUUUGUUACAUUCUAGUUGGAGUUUCCUUUACGUAAGUAAGAAUAGUUUAGAAUAUCAUUUUGUCCAAACAUGGAAAAAAUGCAUACGAUACGAUACAACCAUGAAUCAUCAUGGACUCCAUUGUUUUCCUUUUGAAAUACUUCCCCCUUAUACUAAACAACUAUUAUACAAAAAAAAAAAAUUAACGCAUAAAUAGAAAGAACAAAAACUAAUUUACAAACAAUUACAAGUCGACUCUUUAUCCUUCACCAAUAUCAGAGUCCAAUUUCUGACUUACAAGUACGCCUCGAUCCCAAUUCUCAAAACACCUGUAAAUAUAGAGAUCAUGGCCAUAAAUCAUAUAACAUGAGAUCAAGAUCAGUAGAUACAAUCAACAGUACUAGUUAUUAAAUUACAUAACAUUUAACCGAGCUGCCUCGGACACGGCUUGUAGGCUUAACAAGCCUUGUUUUCGAGCUACUCAGUUUGUUUGCAACUUAUGUUAAGGUGAAAGCUCACAUUCUCUAGUAAGAAUGGAACAUUUGCAGAGGUAGAGGUGAGCCCUGUUUUGUAGUCGAAGAGGGGAGAAAAUAAGUCAUAGGAAAACACAAACCUUGUUCCAUCAACAUCGAUGCAAAUGAAGUGGCCAUGUCGCCAACCAUCUUGGAAAUGGCCAAAAAAUACAUCACCGGCUUUUGAAUAAAAACGACCUUCACCAUUGGCCUUUCCUUUCCAGAAGUUUGCAAACCAUCGGUCCCCAGUGUGAAAAUACAACCAACCCUAUAUAUGACCAUAGAAACAACCUAUUUCAGAAUGAUAUCAUCUACAGGACAGCAUCUACUUAUGGAGUUUUACUGUCAAGAUAAAUAAAACAGAUAUUACACGAAAUAAAUUACCUUGCCAUGCAUGACAUCAUCCCUCCAUGAUCCCUGGAACACAUCCCCAUUACUAAAGUAGAAUGUACCAAGACCUGAUCUUUUGCCAUAGCGCCACAUACCAUCAUAUAUGCUUCCAUCUCCAAGAAGCAAACGACCCUGUAGAAUUCUUUUCAGGAUUAGAAUUUAAAUCCUUUUGUACAGAUCAAAUCAUGACAUCCUCAAGAAUUUUGAUGUUCAGCUACUUUUUUAGUCUCAUUGAACAAUACCUUUCCUUCAGGAAGUCCACCUUGGCACCGUCCUUCGUAGAUUCCCCCUCUGUAUUGCAUCUCCACUACAGGACUCCACUUUUUUGGUGAAUCUCGUUCAGCUUCCUGUAUGUAGAAUAGGUAACAAAAACUAAAUCCUCAUGUUCUGGCAAGUAUAAGAAGUGGUCAAAUACAAUAUAGAGAAUAAACUUAGGGCCCGUUUGAUAACCAUUUAGUUUUUAGUUUUCAUUUUUUGUGCUAGAGUAUAGAGGAAAAUGAGAGUGAGAAUGAGAGUUAGGAUGAGAUUGAGAGAGAGGAUGAGAGAGGAGGAUAGGAGGGAUAAGUAACAAAAGUGAAAACAAUUUCAAAUAGAUUUCAGUUUUUACUUUCUGUUUUCACUUUUGUUACUCCUCCCUCCCAUCAUUCCCUCUCAUCUUCCCUCUCAAUCCCAUCUUCACUCUCAUUCUCAUUUCCAUUCUCCCUCUUUUUCCUCUAUACUCUAGCACAAAAAAUGAAAACUAAAAACUAAAAUUGAAAUGGUUAUCAAACAGGCCCUUAUAUUACAUAAUUUAUUACUAAGCAUGAGCAUCUUUUUUAUUACAAUAAGCAUGAACAUCUUUAAUGUGAAUAUUACUAAGCUUUGUUUUUCACAAACGGCUGAUUACCAGCAUAGAUGCAGCACGAACAGAGAGAUUUCCUUGCUUCUUAGGAUUAUCAGCAUCUUUUCCUUUUACAAGUGUUGAUGCUGUGUUAUAAAAUUCUUUGACUGCUUCAAGCCCUGUGUCAGUAAAUGAAUUCCAAGAAGACAUGCUUAAAUUGACAGCUGGUUGCGCUUUCACAUCAUUCUCAGUUUUUGUCUCUGGGUUUUGUGUUGGAAAUGAGAUAUUGACACUAUCUUUCAACUCUUCUGGAGGCCUUACACCGACUGGAAGGCAGAAGGUGCUCAGGUUAUCUAGUAUCACAGUAGCUCCAUCUUCAGCUGCCCUCUCUUUUGCCCAAUCCUUUGCAAGCUGAUAUCCUGGUCCCAAGUUCCAACUAACAAGUGGCUGUCUUUGAAAGGCAGGAAGUUCUUGGUAAUGCAUUUUAAGUUUUAACUAUGAUUAGUCAAAUGUAAGAACUUCAGGAAUGAAAAGUAAUGCCGAAUGCUUUGAAGGAUUACUAGGAUACCGGGCAGAGACUACUCUAUCAAACUGGAAACUAGUAAUUUAAAUUUUAAGGAUAAAAAAAAGUAAUAGUAGUGCUACCUUCAGUGAUUGGAUCAUAUGAACUAGAAGAGUCGGUAGCCUCGAACAUUCCAUCAUCAUUUUGUUCAGACCCCCUAUAAUUCCUCCAAAAACAAAAAAUUUAUGCAAGCUUUUAAGAUUAUGCAUAGCAGACAAAUCUUUAGGAGAACUAAAUUAAAAUAGAGAAACCAACAAACCUUGAAAAUUGGAAGUCGUCUGCCUGCGGUCCUUCAGAGUACUUAUCAAAACCUUCGGCUACAACAUCAACAGCAUUUCUAUUUCCCAUUUCACUAGAAUCUGGUGAAUCUAUCUCUUCAGAAAAGCGUGCAUUUUCAGGUGAUGGGUUUUUCUGAGUGUCAUUUGAUUGCCAUUGGUGUCUACUGAAAAGAUCAAAAAUGAAAGGAAAAUGCUGGGCUAGUCCAGAGAAUAUGCUACUUUUCUGAGAAGCCUGUUUCGGAGCAAAACUGGUAAUCGCAUAAAAUGUACAUUAGAAAGCUAAAAACAAGAUCCAUCAUGCAUCAGGAUAGGCAGAAAGCAAGUUGCAAAUACUACUGUUAAAUACUUAACAUAAGGCAGGAAGUAAAAAAGUUACCCUACAAUAAGAACCGUUGUGACUACCAGGUUGGGCUCUAGACUAGGUUCAUGAAUUGUAGAAAUUAAGAUUUCCCCCUCAUAUUCCAUACUUUGACGAAAAGUACGCAAAAUUGUUUGUACAUCACUGUUAUCGAUAGUGCCCGAACUUGCAAGGAUGCAUAUAAUCAUACCAUCCCAGUCCUAUGCAACAGAGAAAAAAGAAAAUUCAGAAAGCAGCAAAAGAUCAGAACAGUGGCAUAAAUUUAUAACCACACCACAUCCAUUUAGCUCAAUAAGGUCAUACCUUUACACCCACACUAAGGAAAGGACAGUCAUACAAAGAUCGUAAUAUUGAAGUUUCAAUAUUGUAACCACCACCAAAUCCAAUUUUUGCUUCUUUAUAUCCUUCCAGAAUCUGUACAUAGUUGCAUUAGCCUCACAAUAGGACCAGCAUUGGUAAGAGACAGAAAGGAAGAAAUAAAACUUGGGCAAGAGGAGACACAAAACAGAAAAAACUGUGCAAACAAAAACUAUUUAAUAAAGCUCAUAAUAACUUGCACAAAGGUGUAUGGUAUGAUUCAUGAACACUUACUUUAAUUACUUCUGAAACUUCGAUCAUUUUCACAUCAUCAUGGGAUGCAUCAAUAAGUUUUCUGUGUAUAUCCUAUAAGUGCACCAGCAAUAAACACGUCACAACCAGGCUACUGUUAACUUAGACAACCAAAUAGACAUUAAAGAACUAAACUUACAGAUGUUAAAACGGAUACAGCAGUUACUGCCAAUAAAACAGCAUUAUUUGCAGUCUUGACAGCUUCAUCUAAAGUUACCAAGUCCUUUUUCAGUAACAUGUCAGUGUCAAUGCCUGCAUUUGAAAAGAAACCACAUCAUGUGCAACUUUAUGGUUGAUGGGGAAAAGCAUUGACUAGAAAACUGGUUUAGGCAUUGCUGUAAUGCGGGGGACUUCAAAUCUUCAUCUAACAGAAAAUAUAACUUACAAAUAAAUAAAUUUGUAUGAUCCAGAAGUUUUUCCAUUAGAUCUUUCACCUGAAAAUUAGAUUAAUAGUUGCAAGAUUAGGCAUGGAUUCAAUCAGGAAGGCCUAUCGUGAAACUCUAAGUUUAGAUACAUCAUAGGAAAACUUCAAUGAAUAUUAUACCUCAGGUGAAUGGAUGUUGCAACAAAAAUUUGAAACAUAGUAAUUAAACAAGAUAAACAGACAUCUGCUAAUGCUUACAGGAGGACAUUAUACCACAUAGAGACUUUGACAAUGGGUUCUCAAGAGAGCCAAUUAUGAUACAUUCACACUUGGCUCCACUACUACUUCCAAGUUUUAUGACUUUUAUAGUUUAAACUUUUCCCGUAAGAUGCAUAGCAAAAUAAUUCAUUUUGUAAAACAUGCUACAUAUUUGAUAUUUAUUCGCUUCUCCAACUCAACAGGCAUCAUCAAAGCUCCUAAUCACACAGUACCUCAUCUUGGCGCCUCUGUCCUUCAAAGCUGAAAGGCUUCAUAAUAAUAGUGACCACAAAUCCAUUUGCAGAUCUUAUUUUUCUCAGAAUAUCAAUCGCUAUCAUGAGGUCCAAGCCAUAUCCUGCACUUGCCACCUAGAAAUAAAAGUAACAGAAAAAUUGGAUGCCAAUCAGUUUCAUAUAGGAAACAGAGUAACCUACAUUGUAGGGGAAUAUAAAGUAUGUUCCGCUACGUUUUGUAUCAUAACCCUUCUUAUCAAAGAAAUCAUUCAUCAAAUUAAGUGGCACCAAUAACUUCCAUAGAACAAUGAAGAGACCUGAAAGGGCUGAGAAAGACAAUGCUAGACAUAAAGAUAUACAAGAGGAAGCCAAAAAACAAGUAAUAGGUAAGAAAUGUACAAACAAGGAUAAUAGCCUUUGAACAUGACUUUAAAGACAAUGGGGCUUCAAAAUUCAUCGGAGUCGCAUCUGCAACAAUAACCAAAAAGAAAAACAAUAUAUCAUAUAAAGAGUCUAUACAUGACUUAGGAAAAGUAAGCGCGUUUUUGUACAUGUUUGCUACAAAUUAACAGAAAACACACUAGCAAAAGCACAUAUCAUGAAGAUUUAAAUAUACUUUGCAAUAAAGUGAGACAGUUACACCACAAUGCAGAGCAACUUCAGAAAAUAAUUUCUAGUAAAAAUUUUAGAUGACUAUCUGAAAGGAUAAGCGCUGAACCUUUUCCAAAGAUCCGUCGUUGUAACUGCACAAUCAAUGGAUCUUUGAUGAGAAUUUGCCUGCAAAAAAAGUCCAUUGUAUAUAACUAAAUUUCUUAUAAUUAUCUCGCACACAUACAUAUUUACAAUGGAUAAUCGGCAUACAUAAACAUCAAUAUACUAGACUUGCUUCAGCUUAAAGCAUUACAUUGCGGCAAAUUGUACAACGAAAUUAGCAACAUAAAAGCAUUCACCGUAACAAAAAAACAAUAGUGAGCUCACCAAAAUCGCAGACACGAAAACUGGAACGGCGAUUCGAGACAAAAAUCGAGAACGGCGUCCUUGCGACUGCCAAUACCGACCACUUCAACGAACUCGGAAUUUCCCCAAAAAUCGUCCCAAUUCAUUUCACAGUCCACAUCGACAGGUCCAUUGACGGCCGAACUCGCCCCUAUUCGAAGUGAAGACGGCUUCCGGCUGCAACUACUGCAGCUUAUAUAGUACUUUCUUCUGUAACUGAAGGAGCUUUUCUUGAAGAUAAAUCCACGGUUUGAAGAAUAAGGGCACAGAGGAACAGCAUAAGAUGAUCGGAAACUUAUGAAUGCGGGAAGCUCCAUUGCUGCUUAAAAGAAAUGUGAUGCCUACAAAACUCCCUCCACAGGAGUUGGUGGGUUCAAUGGCAGAUUGGGCGGGAGGGUUUUGAGGACGGAGAACUAGAACCUCAAAGAAUGACACUAGUUGUUUGAUUAUCGAUGGAGUGUAGCGAGUUCAGACUGUUCAGCUCGCUAACUAAAAAAUAUAAAACAAAAACAAAAUUGGUUACUUCCGCUUAGGCCAAGCCCGCAGGAAAAAUAUCCCAGCCCACUAUAAUUAAACCCACAACCCAACAACCCACCUCAACCACCCCUGUCUAAUUGAAGAUUGCUCUUUGCUACUAAACCGUGAUUGGAGUUGCAAGAUUUCUCGUAUUAACAGGGAGCAAAAUAGAAUUGUUGACCACCUUACUAAUUCAGGGUAUGAAUUACCUUUGGGGCUUCAUAAUUUUGAGUCAACUCCGGAUUCUAUUUCGAACAUCUUAUUGGAUGUUGUGCUAGGAAGGGCCCUUGAGAGGGCUGUGAUCUGUUAAUUUUUUUCUCCUUGUUUUGUCUUGGUUUCGACCCACUUGUAACAAAAAAUAAAUAAAAAAUAACACACCUCAAUCCACAAUUUUGAAUUUCGAUAUUUUAACUACUCUCUCUAAUGUGUUUUUUAAUAUUUUUUAUACAAGAGAUAUUGGAGAUGGGGGAAUCGCACGUAAUACCAUCUCUAGUCAUAAGGCUAAAUGUAGUCCAUGGCUAUAAUUUUAGCCCUCCAAAAUAUUAUUUUUUUUAAAAAUAGUGUAUGACUAAGGGUCUGUUCGGUAAUGUUUUAAGGGGUUGUUUUCAUUUUCAGAGAAUAAAAAUGAGUCAAAAACACGUUCGGUGGCUCAAAAACAUAAAACACUGAGAAUGUUUUCAUAAAAUGAAAACAAGUUCAUGUGUACUUGUAGAAAACAGAAAAAAGUUGUUUUAUUCUCAUGGGAAACGUUUUCAUAAAAAUAACUCACAUAUUAUUUUAAAUUGUACUACCAGACACGUUUUCAUUGUUUUUGUUUUCUGAAGAUGUUUUCUAAUUAAUCUACUAGACGCGUUUUCAUUUUCUCGUUUUCAUUCUAUGAAAACAUUCUCCGAAAAUGCUCUCUAAAAACAUUACUAGACGGGCCCUAAAUUUUUCCAUCUCCAAACAUGUAGGGCUAUAUUUGUCACAUCCUUUUUUUUUUUUUUUUUUUUGGGAGUGUGAGGUAAAAGAAAAACUAAAACUAAAAAUUUAAAUAUUAAGAAACAUGAAGAUUGAACAUAAACUUCUAUUUAAACCAAAAUACUUUACAUCGUAAUUUUACAAGCAAAAUAACAGGAAAGUAACAGACUUUUAACAAAACAUCCAAAACUUGUUCUUCUUGUUUCCUCGUCACAAACUAAAUUUCAGAUUCAAAACCUGCAAUAAAUUCAUUAAGGGGUGAGCACUACAUACUCAGUAGGGACCUAUGUCUUAUGUAAUUAGUGAGAUUUAUAAUGUACAAUUUAUGCAAGGUCUGAAAGAACUUCAAUUCUACCCAACCCGUUAAUCUAUAUAAUAUGGCAAGCAAAUCUGCAUGUCUCAUACCAUGCAUUUUACCACUGUGAUUCUGAAUGCCCCAUUAUAUAAACUAACACCCAUAUAAGUUAUCUCAUAAUUCCCCUUUUGCUAGUCAUCUUGUCUACACCAUUGAUCUCGAAGCCCAAAUCACCUGAUCGACAAUUAUGGGCUCGCCUAAACUUGGUUCCUACAAUGGUCAAACUCAAAUACACCAAAGAACCUUCCUAUUACCCUCUUUUUCAUAAUUUCUUUAUCAACCCAAGAAUUCCAACCACCACCGAUAACAUAUGAACAUAUCAAUAUUAAUCAAAUUAUAAUGAUAAUUGACAACAUGUAAACACCCAAUAUCAAGAAUAAUAAUCAAAUAAGAUUACCAAGCAUAAUAUAGUGUUCACAAUAUUUAAUUAAAUCAAUUUAUGUAAAGCUUCCCCAAGAAAAACCCCUCCCUUAAAUUCAAAGCUAUUGUAUAACUCCCAGUCGCAAGUCCAAACACUUUGAGCUUCUUCAAAAUCUCACCAUACUUUAAUUCUCACUCUUUCUUUCUUUGUCUACGAUUUUUAGGAAACUAAAGCAACUUGAAGAACCUAUGAUACAAGAAGUAUUUAGGUAGUACUAUUUAUAGGAAACUAAAGUCGGCAAAUAUAUAGAUGAAAGCUUAAUAUUGUGCUACAUAACUAGCCUAUAGGUUGCUAGACUACUUGGGUGGCUUGAAAAUAAUCUGCCACCCUAAAUAGCCUUAUGUGUUGGCUUUGUAGAGUGCUUAGUGAGCACUCUCCAGUUAAGAUUAUAUAUAUAUGAAUACCUAUUGUGCUUACACCUCCUACUUACAUAUCCCACCUCAUGCUCUAACUGGAUUUGAGGACUCUAUAUUUGCAAUACGUCAAUCUUUAACAAAUGCUUAGUAAGCAUAAAGGCCUUUCUAACAGCUUUUGUAAAGUGUAUGUAUAUAUAUAUAUAUAUAUAUAUAAUAAAUAUUAAAUAAUGCUGAAAUGAAUUGAUAUAGUUAAAGCCAUGCAAUAAAAUUUGAUAGGCUAUACUAGUUAAUAGCUAGAUUCACGUAGCUUGCCAUACAACUAAUAUAUAUUAUCAAUUAUAUAAUUUUGAAAACUAAUAAUUAUAAAUAUUUAAUUUUAUGAAAUAUUAAUAUACAUAUUUAAAAAUAUGGGGUUUCACUAUAUUUUAGGGCCCUCCAUAUUUUAUUAGUUUGAGAAAAAUUAUGGUACAACACUCAUACAUUUCAGUUCUAUGUAUUGUUUAAUUUAAUUAAACUACUAUUUAGAGACAAUAUUCUAUAUAUGACACGUGUACGUAGAUAAGUAUUUAACAAGAUUUCUGAUAAAUUUUUUGAAUGGAAUGAGUGUGGGAAGUAUUUGACCCAAAAAAAAGAAGUGGAAAGUUAUGAAUAAGUAGAAAAUGCGAUAGAAUUUGUAGGAAAUGUGGAAUGAAAUGAGUGAAAAAUUUGUUGAUUAAAUUUUGAGGUAUUUAUAGACAUAUCUUAGGUUUUUUAAAAUAUAAAAAUUAAAGAAAAGAAAGCCAACAAAGGCAAAACCAUUUUUUUUUAAUUAUAAGAAUUUUAUAUACAUUUAAAAUGUAAAAGAGAAAGGAAAAAAAAAAGUAACGCCUAGCUAACGUCAUCAUGCUUUUAAUAUCAGCCUUUGGAUAUGGAGUUGUACUAGAUGUUCUAUGCUCACACCCAUGCGUGAUGCUUUCUCUUAUUUGGCAGCAUAUGUGUUAGGCCCACACAAAAAAUUGAUAUGGGCUAUAACUGGACUACAAGUGGCUUAGUUAAAGGGCUAAAUGUGGCCAAUUUUUUUUAAGCCCAUGGAUGAAGAGUUUUGCAUUAAUUUAGGGCUACAUUUGGCCUAUGACCCAUGAUUGAAGAUUACCAAAGAGCUCAGAUGCAUAAGGGCUUGUUUUGGAGUGCUUCUAGAAGUGCUAAAAGCGCUUUCUGACAACCGAAAGCACUUCUGAUAGCGUUUGGCAAAAAAAUUUAGAAAUUCUUCUAGGUCAUAAAAGCGCUUUCUAAAGAAGCAUCUGCCAUGUGCUUUUUUAGGAAGCACUCCCAAGUGCUUUAUCAGGAAGUACUUCGAUUUUUGAUGAAAUUUUCAACAACUUUAUAAUAAAAACGCUUUCGUUAGAAGCGCUUAUGAACAGAAGUGCUUCCUAGAGAAACAGUCCCAAAUGAACUCUAAGUUAAUGCUCUUAACCUUGAAUACAAGGGACAAGACUGAACUAACUCACAUUUGAUUUUUUUUCUUUCCCCACUUUAAAGAUCCCCCUCUUCUGUUCUAUAUGAAUUUCAUGACCUUCUUCGUCAUAAUAUAUGCGUACGUCAUGAUGAUCACACAGUCCACUUGGAGCUCUGUGAUGGGUGGGGAUAUACAAUACACAAAUGCAAUGCCGGCCCGCCCCAUAGCAUAGCAGCAUGGCCACCCUACUAUAUAUAUAUAUAUAUAUAUAUAUAUAUAUAUGCUAAUUAAUAAUACUACAAACGUAAAUAUCAAAGAAACCCUCUUCAAAGUGACAUUCAAACAUUAAUUCUACUGACUUGACUUGGUAGUAAGUAAUAAUACACUCGAGGCUUCCCCGAAGUUAUUGCUAAUAUUUUGGACCACAUUUCUCUUUCAAUUCACAGUCAGUUUGAUUCUCUUUUUCAGCCCAAAUAGUGUUGCCCUAGAAUUUCUUCCCAUUUUUCUUUAUAAACAAAGGAAAAACAAAAAAAGGUUUUUUUUAAAAUAAAAAAGAAAUUAAGAGACACGUCACAUGGGCCCAAAGAAACUUAAAAAUGAAAAGAUUUUGGGCCUAAUGAUUCAAACCAGAAAGCCCUCAUAUAGGGGUCUCCCUUCCAAAUUCCCAAUAGGCAAUAAAGAGCCCUUAACAGUCUGACUGACUAGGAACUAAAAAAUGAUUUGAAAAGGAAGAAAUGCAUGGGAACGUAAAAAAAAAGUCUAAAAGAAAGAGAGCAAAAGCAAUCCGUAUAUGACAUGUUUGGUUGAAUGUUAGGGCAGAUGACAGAGGGACAUACAGACAGACACAGGGCAAAUUAGAGAAUAAAUUGAGUGUUAUAUAUAAAGUGAAAACGCCGCCGUUGUUGAAAAUCUCCAUCUUCUAAAAGAACCAUCGUCCUCGCGUUGCAACAUACUGCUCUGUUGUGUUGUCACUUAAUGGUCUCUGCAUAUCUCGUCUUUAUAUAUAUAUAUAUAUAUAUAUUAAUUAAAUCCUGCACCCUGUGUUUGGUUUUCUUCAAAUUCUUUGCUGCUUUUUGGAUAUGUCUUUUGUUUUGACAAAUUAUCUGAGUGUAACCGAAACUUGCUAUUAUAUUAUAUUAUAUUUCCAUUCUUAUUAGUCAUUUCGAUAUUUUCAAAUACAUUCUAAACAGUCUGUCCUAAACUCCUCUAGCAUUAAUGAGAGUUACUACAACCAAGACCUUCCUUAACGGCACAAAUACUUAAGGAGAUGGAAACAAGAGGUACAUAGUUGGAACUCUUGCAUAUGUGCACCAUUUAUUUCUAUCACGAGACUUAUAUUUUAUGAGAGAGACGGAUACAAGGGGUACAUGGAUAAGUUUUCCUUAGAGAGAUAGAAACAAAGAAUGCAUAUGCGUCGUGACAGGUAAGUUUUCAUCUAUAAACAGAAUCAGAGCGUAUUGCCACGCUACAAGAAUUAAGUUAUAAUUGUAAUUUGCAUGUUUAAUAAGCAAUAUAUUAAUUAAUAAACAACCUUUAUUCAAAUAAGAGGUGGCUAGAGCAGCUAAAUAAUAACAUAGCAAUCAGAUUUGAUAUUUGUUUUCUCAAUUUAGGCAUUGUUUUUUCCAUUUAGAAAUUGAGACACUGUAUAUCCACCAAGCAGAAACUCCCAUUAGAAUUUACAACUUAAUUAAUAUAUAUAUAUAUAUAUAUACAGCAGUACUACAAGUCUUCUCAGGUCCAAAUUUCAAUGUCAUCCACCCAAAAGUAAUGAAGAAUAUAUUUUUAGACCCUCAUCAUAUUAUCAAAAUGACACACUUGACAGUGAUAUGCGUAGUUAUAGUUAAGCUGUCAUUGUAUCAAAGAAUGACAGAUCUGCUGCAAGCGUUCUUGUAUAAGGAAAAGCCUUUAGCUGGCAUGGAACAAAAACUGUCAUUCCAAUUUCCAAAUAUUUGAGAGGGGAAAGAAGAAAAAGAAAAACUGUCCCAAUCAAGUAUUCCCAUUCCACAAAACAGCAAAGUUUCAUUCUAUUAUAUCACCUUCAAAAUCAGACAAGUUACUAAAUUGAAUAAAUCACUUUAAUUUAUAAUCACCUUGUCUUUUUUUUUUUUACUGUACAAUAUCUGUGGCUGAAAGUAAGCUGUGACCAAAUCAGAGUAAGAGUAUGAUAGGGUUAGCAAUUAAUAAUUAGUGAUGUAAAAUCUAAAAUAGAUUUUGCCGUGUAAUUGUUUAUCGAUAGUGGUUGGUUGGAUUAGGUCUUUUCUUAAUAAUUAUUGGGUCUUUUAAUUAUGUAAUUAUAAAAAGACUAAAAUGGCCUUUCAUAUUGGCCCCCCAGCCCCAGAUGCGUCUGCCAGUAGGAGAAUCAAUUUGCAUGUAACUGAAGCGGACCUAGUAGGCGCUGCUCUUUACAUGUCAGUGGGCAGAGAGAGCUCUCAAAUUAAUGGCAACCGCAUUCUGCUAGAGCUUAAGCUGGAUUUCAGCAAAACAGCCUCAUCUCAAACUACCUCAUAUCAGUGCUCUAAUAUACACGAAACUGACUCUGUAUAUAUAUAUUUAUAAUUUCUUCGUAAUUAUUUUCUUUCUGGGAUUGUUUUCUUCUGCGUUUCAAAUAUUAUUUAUUAUCCAAUUAUUUUUUAGAAAAAGAAAUUUAUAUAUAUUCAUCCUUUAGUGUUAGGUUUAGUUCCGUUUUCUAUUUUGCUGAAAUGUUUUAUUUUUACAGUGAGGUCCACUUGGGACAGGGAUGAUGGAGGAUAGUUUGUCUGGAUGUGAGUAAGAAGAUACGAAGACGAGAGAGAGAGAGAGAGAGAGAGAGAGAGAGAGAGAGAGAGAGAGAGAGAGAGAGAGGUAGCUGCUUCAUGCUCCUCUCACGCACCAUACCAUGUCGUUAUGUGGCUAUGGAUUGGGUCCACCGACCUGUAGGCCUCAACUCCUCUCUCUCUUCUCUCUAUCGAUUGAUUAUUUUCAUUUUGUAUUUUAUUUAAGGGAUGAAAAAAUUCAUAGAAAAUCUGGAGAAAAAAAAAAAGGGAACUGUGAAAAAGAUGCCAAUAAAUUUAAAAUAAAAGAAAAUAUGCUGUGUAUAUGUGUUACUGUAUGUGCAUGACACCAAAUCAUAAAACCAUAGCAACAUAUCACUUUGCUCAGAAAUUUUCAUUUAAAACAAGAGGAAAAAAAAAGGCAGAAGAGAGAAGCAUCAAAUGCUUAGCUAUGGAGUUGAUUCCUUUUUCUUUCUCUUCAGCUCCGCUUGGUUAAUCUAGUAGCUCGCAGCCAGCUUUCCUACUUUUCAUGUAUUUUUCUUUCUUUGUUUCUGAUCAGUACUCCAAAACCUCUCCUCUAUAUAUAUAUAUAUAUAUAUAUAUAUACAUCACUGGUUUUGAGAUAAGAUUUCAGGAGGACUCAAAUUGGUUGUGGGGUUGUGGUGGUUUCAGAUUGCUUUGUGAGGUAAAGGGAAGAAAGAGAAGCAGGGAAAAGAAGGAAAGGGUCGGAGAAUUAGAAAAGAAGAAGAUAUAAAUUAGAUAGAUGGCUGCGUCUUCUUCGUCGGUCGCACCGCUUUUCGGAAUUAGAGAAGAAGAUCAAAACCAGCAGAUGAAGCAGCAACAUUCCUCUACACCGCCAACCUCGUCCACAGCUGCAGCAGCUGCUCCACCUCAGAAGAAAAAGAGAAACCAACCUGGAACACCAAGCAAGUAUCCAACCAUUAAUUAAAAUUUUGUUUUCUUUUGUAGCUAGCAAGGAUCUAACAUAAAAGAAAAUUAAAUUAAUUUCUGAAUUCAUUCACUAGUGUUCCUUCUUCUUUUGUUUUCCCUUCGUCACAGAUAAGGAACCCUAAAUUGGGAGAGGAAUCAAUUGAAAUCGGAAAAAUACAGAGACACAUACAUAUACAUAUAUAUAUAUAUAUAUAUGUAUAAAAGUUUAUGAUUUAGUUGGAUUGAAAUGGGCACAUAAGUUUAUAAAUAAAGAUUGUCUUGUAGCAUAUAUGUAUGAUUUGUUGUUGUGAUUAAUAAAGAUAUGAAAUUUCUAAUUUGUUGUGGUUUGGCAUUUUUCAUGAGAACAGAUCCAGAAGCAGAAGUGAUAGCACUAUCUCCCAAGACCCUAAUGGCAACAAACAGGUUCAUAUGUGAGGUAUGCAACAAAGGCUUCCAAAGGGAGCAGAACCUACAGCUCCACAGAAGAGGACACAACCUGCCUUGGAAGCUCAAGCAGAAGACUACAAAAGAACCCAAACGCAAAGUCUACCUGUGCCCCGAGCCCACAUGCGUCCACCACGACCCCUCCCGAGCUCUCGGUGACCUCACCGGCAUCAAAAAGCACUUCUCUAGAAAGCACGGCGAGAAGAAAUGGAAGUGCGAGAAGUGCUCCAAGCGCUACGCCGUGCAGUCCGAUUGGAAGGCCCAUUCUAAGACUUGUGGAACUAGAGAAUACAGAUGUGACUGUGGCACUCUCUUCUCAAGGUAAUUAAAUUAAAUUAAAAAAAAAAUUUCUUUCGCUCUUUUUCUCAUUAAGCAAACAUCAUAUCCUUAGCCAAGCCAAGCUACUUCAUUUCAUGAGAGAGAUACGGUUUGGUUUAGGCUAUUAUAUUUUAGCUUCCUCAAGUCAUCGGUGACAAGAGAAGAAAAGGUUUUCACGCUUUUAGUAUGCGUUUCAUUUUCACCCUUGUCCUAUUGUAAUUCUUCUUCUCUUUCUCUUUUUUCUUUUUGUUUUUCUCCUGUCAAUGUUUUGAUUUUAAAAUUUCUUCGGGGGAAGGAAAUGGCAGAAAACAUGCUCCCACGUGAAUAAUCUGUGAGAAACUGCCAUGGUCGUAGUGGUUUCAGUUCUCUGGACAUAUAUAUAUAUAUACACAUACAUAUAUCCCCACUCCAGUCGGGACACCCAAAACCAUCUAAAAGAAAGAAAAAAAAUAGAGAGAGAAAGCUAGCCCCAUGGUGGUACUGGUACUUGAAUUUAUUUUUCUUUGUUUCACCUCGGAAACAACGCCCCGCUUCGGUCUUUAGUUUAGCCUUUCCGUAUUCACGUGUCGCUAUGCUGCCAUGUAAGAAAGAAGAGAAAGAGAGGGUGUUGCUCUCCUAUUAUGAGCUGCCCCAAUCUCAUCAUAACGCUUUUCUUUCUAGGGCGCUCUCUUCCCAAUUGACCAUCUUCUCUUCCUCUCCCUCUCUCUAAACUGGUUUUCAGUUUGGCUUUACUUCAUCAUGACCUUGCAGUUUGAAAGCUGUGGUCGAAAUUAAGGGUUUACAUAAUGGCACGCAAUUGGGUCAUUAAUUUAUUGGGUUGAGAGGAGAGGCCAGUAAUUGGGGGAAAUUGAGAGAUGGAUGGGGUUUUGGGAAUAAUUCUCAAGUGGAAAAAACAGACAAUUCAUCAUGGGUUUUGUAUUAACUGAGAGCAUAACUCCCCAAAUGGGUUUAUCGAUGGAUUACCUUUCAUCACUUGGAAUACAUUCUCAUGUCGCAUUGAUUGAUCUGCCAGUUCUUGAAAUGGUAUUUCUUGGUUGUUCAUUCAUUCAUUUCAUUCAACACUUACAUUUUACUUCUCUAUAUUUUCUUGAAAUGGUAUUUCUUGCUUGUUUUUGCUAUUUGUUUCAAUGUGGCAGAUUAUAUAGUGCGUGUAACUGUGUAUGUCAUUAAAUGCGUCAUCUCCUUCAACAUAUAAUCAUAUAUACAGUCGAAAUUAUUGCAUAAUUAAUUUUUGUUCACAUUAGGGUUUUGAUAUCUAUAUAUUUUCAUUUGUAUCCAUUUUUGGAAUUGCACGAGAUUAAUUUCAUUUGUCAACUAUGACUGCUUGUCGGUGUGAUUUAGAACAUCUAACGCGGCUAAUUACACCGCCCUAAUGCUGAAACAUUGCAAUCUCUUUAUACUACUGAAAAUGGGGUAACUCACUGAGUGAAUUAAUUGUAUAGAUUUUGGAUUUUAUCAACAAAAGUGGGGCCAAUUCCAUCUAUUUAGGGAAGUCAUUUCAUUUUACUUUCAUUCACUUUAGUAUAUUUCCGUACAUUUUCCAAGUUGAUGUGUAUGUGAUAAACAUGAACACUUUCUCUCCAGAAAAUAUAUAUUUAAACCUAGCUGGCUAGUGUACUGCUUUACUAUUUCCACGAAAUGAAUCUAAUGUGAGCUCUAUCCAAUUUUAAUAAUAUUUGGUACGUGCUGUAGGAGGGACAGUUUUAUCACGCACAGGGCCUUCUGCGAUGCACUGGCUCAGGAAAGUGCAAGGCAUCCGCCCAGUUUGAGCACCAUUGGCAGCAGCUUAUAUGGGGGCAGCCUCAGCAACACUGGCCUCGGCUUAUCUCAUCAAGUUGUGGGCCCACCUCAAAUUUCCUCACUUCAACAAGACCACAGUCAAUCCAGUACAGCUGCUGACAUCUUAAGACUUGGUGGUGCGGGUGGUGCUGGCGCUGCUCGGACCGGACAAUUCGAUCAUCUCCUGGGCUCAUCUUUUCGACCAGCUGCACAGUCCUCAGCAUCUUUCUUCUUGACUGCCGCUGAUCAGUCCACCCAACAACAAUACCAUGACCAGGAUCAGGACAAGUCAUUCCAGGGCCUCAUGCAAUUCUCUGAUAAUCAUCAUCAUCUUCAUCAGAACAACAACAACUCAAACAACCCACCUCAUCAUCACUCAGCAGGAGCCAAUCUGUUCAGCCUACCUUUCCUUUCCAACAACACCACCAAUACUACUAAUAAUAACAACAGUGCCACCAAUAACAAUUUACUAAUUAGUCCUGACCAUUUCAACACCAAUGUAAAUGGCACUACCACCGCUGCCGGAGGCAGUGAAGGUUCACAUAAUCUCUUCUCCGGUCACAUAGUGGGCGGUGAUCAUAUUAGCUCCGGGAUACCUUCUCUCUACAGCACUAAUAGUAAUAUUAAUAAUAAUAAUCAGCAGCAGCAGCACCAUGCAUCUAUGGCGCACAUGUCGGCAACCGCACUGCUUCAAAAGGCUGCUCAAAUGGGCUCCACCAAUUCAAGCAACAACACCACUGCCUCGCUGCUUCGGAGCUUCGGCAGCUCCUCCUCAGCCACUGCUAAAUCUGACAGGCCCGGGGCGCUGGUUCCUUCCAGCUUAGGUGGCAUGUUCGGAAGUGAUCAACAGGACCAGAGCCACCUGCAAGACCUAAUGAACUCGUUUGCUAAUACUGGUGGCUCAUCCAUUUUUGUAAAUGCGUCGUUUGGUGGCUACGAUGCUGCAACAGCAAAUAGGGCUAUUAAUAUGGAGGAGACAAAGUUGCAGCAGCAGAACAGUCUCGGGGUGAGCAAUAUUGGAGGGGCUGAUAGGUUAACAAGGGACUUUCUUGGGGUUGGACAGGUGGUGAGGAACAUGAGCGGAGGGUUUUCUCAUCAAAGAUCAGAGCACCAUAGUGAACAGCAGCAUGGAAUGGACAUGAGCUCAUUGGAUUCAGAAAGCAAUGCAGCAGCGCCGUCAAGCCAAUCUUUUGGAGGAGGUGGGAAUUUUCAGUGAGAACAACAUGAGCUGGAAAAAGUACAGAGAUGAGGGAGGUACGUGAAAAUUAGUGACGACUUUUGUAGAUUAAAAAUGAUUAUAUAUGAUUAAAGGAGUUAGUUUUCUUUGGUAAAUGUGUCCUAAGUUCACUGGCUUUCUGUACUUUUCUUUUUCUUUUCUUUUGGGUUGAAAAAACAAAAACAAUAAGAAAAGGAAAUUCUGACACAAUUUGUUGCAUGGUUACACAAAAUUGAGGCAGUCAUGAUCGAUGACCUGGAGUAGAAUUGGGUGUCUCGUCUUUUUGUUUUUAUAUAAACAUGAUACUUUCUUAACUUUUAUUUUGGCUGGCAGAGUCACGAGUGCUGCUGGACUUGUAAAGUGAGUGAGUCUGAUGAGAUAAAUAUCUUCUCACAAUAAAAGAUGCAUUUCCAACUUGUCUUGGAUUACAUAUUACACACUCACACACUCACACACUCACAUGCAUGAAUUAUUUAUUUACUUUAACCAUUUCAUUAUUGCUCGCCUUUUUACAUCUUUUUUUUAUACUUUUACUUUCUGUUCCCAACAUCUUUUACGUGAUGAUGAGAUUGACUUCUUUCUCAUGUAUCCGUUGAAUGUUUUCUUGGAAAAAUAACUGAACUUGUUUCAAUUACUAAUUUUGGGUUUGUUUGCAGGGAGUUAACUUUCCCUCGUACCAUAAUUUAUGCAUCAAGUUCUGGCUAAGCAAAUCCUGAACGCCAUGAAGUUUUCGCGAUGUCACACCAAGAGAAUUAGUGCAGAUUAAUUAAGGUUUCUUCAACCUGUAUAUUUUCCCUUUUUUUUUUUGUUUUGUUUUUGGUUGAGACCUCAAAAAGUGUUUUGGGAGGCCGGGGGUUAAUUUUCAAAGUCAAUCAAGGCUACAACUUUUUUCCUAGUUUAAAUUAAAUAUGACUAGUGGACUCUCUGUUUCUUGUUAAACUGAUGUUCCCUUUUAUGGAAAUCCAUAGGAUAGGAACUUUCGUAAUUAUUUUGACCACACAUGCAUGCAACCGUACCAUAAUCAAAGUUUCAAAGAGCCGUUACCAAGUAAGUUACACACUUACAAGGAUGAAUAAAAAAAGAUAAGAAAAACUUAAUGACUCAGAAAUUAUCCAGAAGAUGAUUGGUUUGGCAUUUCAAAAUAAUUAAUAUGCACUCCUCCUUUAUUUUAUUUUAUUUUUUAUCAUUUGCCUUGAUUUUGUUUUGCUAUAGUUGAAUUUUUACGAGGGAGGCUUUCUUUUGAAAAUAACAUGCUCAGUUAAGGAAUAAUUUCCAUAUCCAUGAAUAGGGAAAGAUAUCCCUUCCUGAACUGGCCAUUAGUUGCAUGCCAUGGACACUAUGCAUGAUCGUAUUAAAAAGUAUAUAUGUGCAUUUGCCUUGGCCAACAUUAUUACUGCACAAGUUAAACUGAAAAGACGACAAUAAUAUUGUUCGUAAUUUUCGUGCCUCCUAGAAAAGUCUAGAACACUGCCUUAGUAGUAGCCAAAGAUCAACAUAUUAGUGGGAUGGACGUGUGACUUGGGCAUACGUACAGAUUGUGAGGAAGAAACAUUAUACAUACAGAUUUUUAUAGAUAUAAACAAUAUUUUACUUUAAUAUAAUCUAAACUACGGUGAGGGAAAUUCGAACUUUGACAUAGAGUGGAGAGCAAAUCCGCUCUAGUCAACUUAGCUAAGCCCAUAUUAUAUAUAGACAUAUAGAUUAGUUACAGAUAACGUCUACCCUCUUAAUUAUUUAAUAUGCUACUUCAUAUAUAAUAGACGUAAAAUGCCAUUUAGUAUGCUACUUCAUAUAUAUUAGACGUACGUACAUAUAUAUACUUAUAUCUGGAGAGAGAGAGAGAGCAGAUGCAGUCAAUUUGUUUGUACUAAUAAAGAGACAAGUUUUGAAGCUUUAAACCCCACCCUCUCAAGGCCUCAACGGACGGGUCAAAAGAAAUAUAGAGACAAGACUGUAUUAUUUCUUUUUGUAUUCUACUACGACUUUGGAAUUUAUUUACAAGACACAUAUUCCACGGAACUUUGUUGACAUCUCGUCUUAUGCCAUUCUCAUUAGGUUGACUCUUUCAAGUCUUAAAUAUAUAUAUAUAUAUAUAUAUAGGUUCUUUCCAUUCCAAUUAAACGCCCAAAGUUGGGAAAGGGCCGGGAAUAAUUAUUUCUCCCUUGAUUUCUACCUCUCAUUUGAUUAUGAUGAAUGUACAAAUUUACUUUUUUUUUUUUAAAUUUUCUCAAGUAAUCCCAUGGAAAUUCUUACAUUCAUUUCAUUUAUUUAAAGGAUUACUGUUGGCCUGUUUGGUGUGAAAUAAACGAGAGAGGAAGAAGUCACGAGCCAUCUUUAAAAAAGUCUCUCUCCGAGAGUCUGUGAUUGUACUCUUCAAGUUUGAUGUCUACAAGUGGGUUUUUUAUUUUUUUUAUUUUUUAUUUUUGCUUUCGGGUAGGAUGUCUACAAGUGGUUAGCAUGGCCUAUGGCCCCACGUUUUAGACACAUCUUUCUAUCCAUUAAAGGGCCACCAUUUGGAAUUGAGGAUUUUGGAGAGAUUGUACAAGACAGACUACUCUUCGCUAUUUAUUUUUAUUUCAUGCUCCCUAUAAAAUAUAUUAUUAGUUUUUCCUUUUGCUAGCUACCAUUUUCACGGUUCAAUUUAAUCAUUUCUAAAAUAAUUUAAUGAGAAUUGAUGAACCAAUUUUAUUUUUUUUUCUUUUCUCAAAACACAAUUGUGUUUGGUUAAAAUAGGACUGAAAUUCAAAUUUUGAAGUGAGGAAAACAAAAAACAAAAAAACCAUCCACUGUUGGAGUCACGGGCUGAUGUGUACGAUUCCUUUUGAAGAUAGAAGAGACAACAAUUACGACAAUAGUAGACAGCCCCAUCAUCAUCGAUCAAUUUCUUAAUAAUUACAAUAAGGUUAACGGCAGCUAUAUACUACACUUGCAUAUUUCCUAUAUAUCAAUGUUUGUUUUGCCCUAGUCGACGGUAGUACAUAAUACUAUAUAUGAUAUAGGGAGCUGGUUUUCCCACUCUUAUUUUAUCUAUUUACAUUUUUUUUUGUAGAAAAUUGUACGUUUCCAUUCCUCUUUUAUUCACUUACAUUUUAAAAAAAGAGUAUAAAUAAAAAAUAUAUAUAUAUAUAUUAUAUGCUAAACCCAAUUGGUUACGGCCAGCAGAUACUCUUCAGUCCGGCCCUAAACCCAAUGGCAACACACAUGCAUUAUGCAUAUGAUGCUCCUCUAAAUUAAAAUUAUAAAUUAAUGCAGUCUAAAGUAAAAUAUCUAUCUAUAUCACCAGUAGCAUCAGUGAAGAAAGUUGAAUAUUAAACGUGACCGUGGACCUUGGUAAGGAAUUAGAAUGAAAAAGAAUUGUUGGAAAGCGCCAUGGAGGGCGGGACAAUUUAUUUAUUUAUUCAUUAAACUAAUUAAAUAUUGUCAAACCAAGCAUUGUUUUGUACUUAGUUUUAGCAGUGGCUAGUAGGGUUAGGUAUUAGGUAGCCGAACAAAUUCUUGUGCUUAUUUUUUAUAUGUGGGGUUCUGGGUUCGGGGUUGGGCGUAGAUAAUUCGUCCCCCGGCCUGACCCUCUCUCUCUCUCUCUCUCGUGCUUAUGAAUUAAAUAGUUGAUAUGAUUUCUUUGUUCUUGAUGCAUGGCAAUAUUAAAUUAUUGAUUACGGAUAUCUCGUAACCAGACAAACAAGAAAAUAAAUUCUCACUUGUCCAUUAUGUUGGAAUGUAUCCAUUUUUAAGAUUCUGCACAAACAGUACUGGCUCAGCUGCUAGCGCCCAUGUCUGCUGCUGUGACAUUCUGAUUCUGUAUAUAUAUAUACAUGCAUACUCAACAUGGCUUACCUCACACAUUAGUUAAUUCAAAGUUUAAUUACGGGACAUCGAUCUCAUUACUAAUAUUAAUUUAGAUAUUUUUCCUUUGAUUAUUUCAAAAUUAAGUACCAUCAGGAGAGAAAGAGAGAGAGAGAGAGAGAGAGAGAGAGAGAGAGAGAGAGAUGAUAUUUAUCCUUUAUCUUCAAAUAUCUACGCAACGCAAGAAAGAUACCACACAUGUGGUACAGGGAGAUAUAUAAAUAGCUGAAAGUACUGGAUAUAUCAAUUAGUGUAAGCCUUAAGGCAUGCACAUGUAGAAAUUAAAUCAAUGAAACCCUAAUGCGUGGGGGUCAAGACAACUAGUUCAUAAUUAAACGUCCUUUUUUCCGUACAUAUAUUAAACAGGAACUGUCAUCCAUAUGAACUUAAUUGGAAUCCUUCGAUGUAGCUAGCUUUCACCUCAUCAUCACAACUGUACGCAUGCUCAUUGCAUUGCAGUGCCUCCAAAGGGUUGACGUGUCUGCGCUGACUUCAAAUCUGGGUCUAAAGUGCCGAUCAUAUUUAUGCCAUGAUGUUGCUGAUGAUGAUCUCGUUGUGAGUAUCCAUGGCCACCACUCAUGUUUUGUACCAUCCCUCCAACUCCCAGAAAAUCCAAGGUCAAUUUAUCAGACCCUCCAAAAUUUACACCCAAAUUUUGAUGCAACUUAGCCUCAUCAUAAUUUGUGUUAUUAUGCUGUUGAUCCAUUGCAUUAACCCUAGUACCAGUACUGCCACUACUAAACCCACCAAAGCUGUUAUGAUCCUGUCCAUGCACUCCUCCACCUCCAAAAACAGAAGAGGCCCCACUGGCAAGAGAGUUCAUCAAACCUUGAAGAUGGUUUUCAUUGUCCACCUGCUGUGAUGAUCUUAAGUGUUGCUGUUCGCCACCACUGUGAUGAUCGCCACUAAAACUGACACCAACGGUAGAGGGUGCCGCAACUAGUUGCCUACCGGAUUUAGCUGCUCUUGUUGAUGAAUUGCCUAACCCUCGUAGCAGAGACGAGCUUUCGGUGCUUGUAGUUGAACCCAUUUGGGCAGCUUUCUGAAGCAAAGCAGUGGCAGACAUAUGUGAAGCAAUGUUGCUUUCAUGUUGCAUGGAAUUCCCAUAGAGAGAUGGUAGAGUAGCCGACCCCAUAGUGUGAUGAUCACCAGCACCCAUGCUAAACCCUUGGCCACCGCCAUUGCCAUCACUAAACUGAUGAUCAGGUGGAGUCAAGCUGCUGCUGGUACUGUUGUUAGAAAAGAAGCUCAGGUUGAAGAGAUUUGCAGCACUAGUUGAUGAGGGUGAGUUGUUGUUGUUACCGUUGCUUUGGAGAUCAGGAAGUUGCAUUAGCCCAUGCAAUGCUGCCUUGCUGGGAAAUUGGUGCUGAUCCUGAAAGCCUUGCUGGUUAGCAAUAUCCCUCAUGAAGAAAUUGGAGGAAUUAGGCAUGGCUUGUGAUCCGAAGGAAGAAGGAUUUGAUGGUGUGAUUAGAUGCUCAUAUUUUGCACCACCAGCAUUUCCUAACCUCAACAUGUUGUUGGGCAGGUGGGUCUGAUUUUGAAGUGAGGGAAUUUGGGAUAGGCCUAAGCUCAUGUGGUUGUUUCCAUAUAGUUGACCACCCAUGGUGUUUAAGCUUGAAGGAUGCCUUGCACUCUCCUGAGCCAGUGCAUCGCAGAAUGCCCUAUGCGUGAUAAAGCUGUCGCGCCUAUAUAUCACAAAGAAAUGAAAAGAAAAGCUGAGCCAGUGCACCUCAUCUCAUGUGUGUACAUAUAUAAGAUGUUUACAAGGGAAGAACAAGACAUCAUAUAUGUGGGGAUAAAAACAAUAAUCAUUCUUACCCGUUUUAGUUAAAAUUAUGCAUAAACGGCAAAAGGAUUUACCCCAGAGUUGAAUUUCUGUUUUUUUUAUUGAUUUUAAUUGCUAUUUUUCAACCUAGUGUGUUUGAAAGUCAACUGAAUUGAUCUCCCCUCCCAUGAAAACAAAACAAUGCUUACACACGAGAUCAAUAGUGCCAAAAAAAUAAAAUCCCAAACUACUACGUACAUGAAAAUAAUUGAGACCGUAAACGCUGCAUGUAAUGUAAUACUAAAUUUUGUUUAUAAAGAAAGGAAAAGAGCAAACAAAAUUUCACUAGAACCGGAAAAGGGGAAACCAAUGAGAUUCCUAUUAGUCAUAAUGGUUUCUCUCUUCACUCAAGAAAUAGGAAAGAAGUACAGUGUUAGUUGAAUUUUUUUUUUUCUCCUCCAAUAAAUGCGAAACCCUUGAACGGUCAUUUGUUUUAUUAAUUUCCACAGAGAAUAUUUCCAUAACCAAGAUAGACAGACCCAAAUUCACAAACCUCAUCACCCUAAUCAUUGAACACUCUACCACUCUGACUUCUAAAUUUUCAAAAACUGUCAAGCUUUUUGCUAGGUAGAAAAAUGUGGUGUUGGACCAGUACCCAGAGAGAGAGAGAGAGAGAGAGAGAGAGAGCAUCUUUGGUCCCAUGAGAGAUGAGAGCAUACGUUUUAAUUUCAUGGGAAGGAGUACCAGGAAGAGGAGCAGAGCAGAGCUGUAGCUCUGAUCUGAAUAGAUGAAGCCAGCCCAGAAGAGAACAAAAACUCAUGAGUGACAUAUAUAUAUCUCCAAAUCAUUAUAAGACAAGAAAACUAAAGCAAGCUCAAGCUCCAAUAGUCCAGUGCAGUAACCAUUAAUAUUAUGCUUCCCUUCCCUUCCAUAUGUAUCUUGUGUAUGUAUGGUACUGUAUCUCCACACGUGAGUGGGGCAAAACAUAUAUAUAUAUAUAUGGUGCCAAGGUCACCCAAAGGCGCUGUUUUCGAGGAUCCAUCCAUACAUAAUCAAGAUAAGCUAAAUUUCUUGUUUUUCCUCUCUCUCUCUCUCUCUCUCUCUCUCUCUCUCUCUCUCGCUCAUAAAAUUUGAUUUUCAUUUUGAAACCCGUAUAUAUAUGGUAGAGUAGACAUUGCCAGUUUCACACAGAUUACUCACGUGUAAACAGUCCUGCCAUAUCAACCCAGACACGGACACACUCACUCUCUCGCAGAAAGACCCAAAAAAGAAAAAGUUAAUUUGUUUAACUUCAUCAUUUUCCUUUUAUUUAAUUUUUCAAUUUUUGAGAGCAUCUCUCAAAUUAAUGAACGAAUUAAUGGAUGAAUGAAUGAAUGAAUGAAAAUACCUUGAGAAGAGAGUGCCACAAUCGCAUCUGUAUUCCCUAGUGCCGCAAGUCUUAGAAUGGGCCUUCCAAUCCGAUUGCACGGCGUACCUCUUGGAGCACUUCUCGCACUUCCAUUUCUUCUCGCCAUGUUUUCUAGAGAAGUGUUUUUUGAUGCCGGUGAGGUCACCGAGAGCUCGAGAGGGGUCAUGGUGGACGCAUGUGGGUUCGGGGCACAGGUAGACCUUGCGUCUGGGUUCUUUUGUAGUCUUCUGCUUGAGCUUCCACGGCAGGUUGUGUCCUCUUCUGUGGAGCUGUAGGUUUUGCUCCCUUUGGAACCCUUUGUUGCACACCUCACAUAUGAACCUGUUUGUUGCCAUUAGCGUCUUGGGAGAUAGUGCGAUGACCUCUGCAUCUGGAUCUGUUAUCAAAAUUAAUGCCAAAACCAAAUUAACAAAUUUUCUUUUAACUUGUUUCGGUUCAACUCCAGAAUUACGGAAAGAAAAGAGCUGGAAGACAAUGAUUUCGAAGGACAAAAAUUAAUAAUUGAGAGCCAAACGGAGGAAACACAAAUCCAUUUCAUCACACCAAAGAAUCAGUACAUAAAUUUAGGGUUUCUUUUCUGAAAUUUGUCAACUGAUUAAAAAAAGUAGAUACAAAAGAAUUGAUGUAAUUAUAUAAAGAGAUAUUUACUUGGAUUUCCAGGUUGAUUUCUCCUUUUCUUUUGAGGGGGUGGGGCUGCGGCUGCGGCUGCGGCUGUAGUAUUAGAGGAAGGCGUUGCGGAGGAAUGCUGUUGUAGCGUGGACGUCAUCUGGCUUUGGGUUUCUUCUCUGCUACUAGUGCUUCCGAAAAACGGUAUUGACGAAGAAGCAGCCGCCAUGUAUAUACGGUGAAGAAAACAAGUAAUAUUCUUAAUUCAACACCGAUCUUGUUUCGAGCAACUCAAAGAAAAUUUGUGAAGUGAUAGCUACAAUAAAGUAGAACACUCUAGACAUACAAACCUAGCAAGCUAAGUAAAAUAAAAGUUGCGAGUCCAAGGUCCCUUAAUUGCUAGGCAGGUAGGUAGCUUGAGAAAUACGACCCACAAAUACAAAUCAAGGGAGGAAAGAAAUUAGUAAGUAUCUGCGGGUGGGGGGAAAGGGAGGGGGCGACAACUAAAAUCCGGAAAUGAUGAAGAUAGAGAGAAGAACCAGAGUCAAUCCGGAAUAUAUGUGCAGGCCAGCUUCUUCUUGCUCUCUUAGCUAUCUAUGUAUCAAUCUAUCUUGUUUUUAAAAUGAAUAAAAACGGAUCUGCUAAAACGCUCUUAUUGUUCCUCUCUCAAUCAUUUCAUGUCAUGUACAUACACAACACACAUACAUACAUGUCCUAGCUAGCUAGCUACGCAUCUCUCUCUCUCUCUCUCUCUCUCUCUCUCUCUCUCUCUCUCUCUCUCUCCCUUGUUUUUUGUGUUUUGAUUUUGCUCGUCCUUUUCUCACUGUAAAUUAAAAUAAUUACAGAUAUUAAAAAAGAAAAGAAAAAUAUCGAAUGGAGAGAGAGAGAGAGAGAGAGAGAGAGAGAGGAGGGAAGCUGGGGUCGCUGUUCAUGCAGCUCACGCAGCCUAAUGUGUGUCGUUAUGCGGCGAUUGUAAGUGGGGCCAGCUUUGCUCACUCUCAAAGCUGAAGGGUGAAGAGUGUAGGGUGUAGGUCUUACCCUCUCCCCAUCUCUCUCCUUCUCUUAUUUCGUAUCUUCUACCUUCGCAUCCAGACAACCCUCUCUUUCGUCACUCUGCGCCCAUCAUAUAUGCUCUCUCUCUCUCUCUCUCUCUCUCUCUCUCUCUCUACGUUGUAACUGUGCAAUACAAAUGCUUGACACCUUUCAACAUUGAUGCCAUGUUUCUUCAUAUGGUUGAUCAGACGGUCAACAUGAUUAUCUUAAUAUUAUGUGUGUCCUAGCUAGCAUACUUUAAUCAUACAUGUCCUAAACCCUAUGUCCACAUCGUUUUUAAACAGACUAUGUACUCAGGACUCAUCUUAAUAUUGUUUCUUAUUAAUAUUUAGGGUAAUUAAGAACGUGUAAAAUUAUGUAAAAUUUGUUAGGUUAGAGCUAUUUUCUUUGUUAGAGAAAUCUGAAUAGCUAGCAAAAAGAAAGAACAGUAUUACAUCUGGCUAUAGCAGCAGUAAAAGUUUAGCUGGAAGAGGACACUUUAUGAGGCGGAUUCUUACAGAGAUGUACGGACCUAGGUCAGUCUAGGGAAUUUUCUUGAUUAUUAAGUGACGUUCCACACGGGUUAAUGAAGUACUUGCAAGUUGCAUGUGUCUAUGUCUCUCACAACCGAUUUCAAUUAAUUUAUACCAUGAAAAGACUUUCUUCCGUAGAGGAAGGUGAUCGAUCCAUCUCUGCAAAUAAUUGAAUAAUACUGAAUAAUAUCUUCCCCCACUGUCUUAAAACGUGAAGAAAUAUACUUGAACUAGCAAAGCAGCCACUCAAAAGUGGAACUCUUGUGACUCUACUUUGUUGUGUUCUAAAAAUUAUAUUCCACUCAUUAUUAUUAUUAUUUUUAAUACAUGCAAUAGUAUAAACUAGAAGAGGAUGUGAGUUUCUCACACACACAUAGAUUACCACGGUGUCAUGGGAGUUCGAACAUGAGACCACUGACUAAUCUGUAAGUAAGUUAAUGCCCUAUUUUUACUGAAUUGCAAAUUAAAGCUCUUUUUCACUGAUCUGGGAUAGUCUAAUGAUAUUAUACUAGUUAUUUAUUGAAUAUUGUUAAGGACAGAUUUGGAUAUCCAUAGCUUCUAUAAAAAGCCCUUUUCCCCCCUUUCUUAUAAAAGAGCAAACAUACAUAAUUAAUGCAUGUAUAGCUAGCUAGCAUCUGUUGUUGGGUUUCAAAAUUUGACACACUUACGUACAUGUGUUCGAAUUGAAAUUGGGGAAUAUGGGGGGAAAAGGUUAAAGCUGCAGAAAUGCUUCAACGAACGCUUUUCUCUUAGUUUGGUCGCUUGCAUUUUGAUUUGAGAGUAGAAUUGUUGGUACCUGCAUGCAGAGGAAGCUUCAUUCAGUUGCCUUACCCAUCUACAAAAGGUGGCCGUCUUUUUUUUCUUUUUCUUCCUUGACAACAUGUUUCUGGGGGAAAUAGACAAUCUUUGUUGGGUUGUGGAGCUAUAGAGAGCCAAAUUCUUUGGUUAUUUCCUCUGUCAACUUCAGUGCACGACUUUGCUAGCUAUAGUCGUGUAAUAUAUAAUAUCAAACCUCUUUAUUCCCUUUAUGCAAUAAUGUACAUGUUGAAAAAUACACAUGCAUAGGACCGGAAGAAUACAUCCAACAACACAAUAUUAUCUAAAAAUUGAUGAAGGAAAGAAAAAGGCAAACUUCCUCAGGAGGAGUGAGUCAGGGGAGGGGGUGCUGCUGCUGUCCUUAAGAGGCCCUUUUAGGAUGCAUAGCAUAGCAUCGCACAGUAGGACCCACAUCUCUUAGACAUGGUGGGCCUGGGGCCACCAUGAAAUUGGAAGGAAGGGACAUGAUUUGCUUGGGUCAAAAAAUGUGCCAUUCUUGGUCAAGUUAGGAGGGAUCGUCCCAGGUCAUUUCUGGUCAAAUUGAUUCUUGUGUAACCACUAAAUCCAGCUAUAUAUAUAUAUUUGUGGACUCCCCCAUCCAUGAAUAAAUAAAAGACUAGCACUAGUGGCCGUUGAUAAUUUGUCACCACCUAAUUAUUAUACACAUAAUAAUAAUAAUAAAAAUACAUGUAGCUGAUGCCUUGUCUGGUAUGGGCAAUCAUGGACAUAGAACCAUAUAUACGUUGUGGAGAGAGAAUUUUACUUAACAAUUAUUCGUUGGUUGAACUGAUUUUAAGGUUUGAUCUUGUGAUGUAUUCGAAUUUCCAGGAUUUUGCUGCAGCCUGCAGGGCUUGGUUUGGCUGUGUCUUAUAUUAAAGUCAUCACCCCAAAUGGAUCAAACCCCAGAAGAAGCAGUUGAAUUGGUUAGUCAUUGUAUGAAUAUGCCUAUUCCAUUGUAUAGAUACACGUGGUUGGAAACUAGAAUUAUCAACUCCCUUGAGGUUUAGCUCCUCCUUUGGCUUUGCCUCCAGUUCACAGAAUAAAAAACAAAAAAAUUCCAUUGAAAAUUCGACAGUGAAGAUCACUUACCCAAUGGCUGCCUGACGGGUUCCAGGUUUUGUUCUAGUUCUACUCUGACUUUGGUAUAUCAAUCUUAUUUUAUUUUCCGAUAAAAAAAACAAACUGCGUGCGACAUUUUCAAAAUUUUCCACACGGUGUUUCCUCAGUGAAUUUAAAAUCAAAUACUUUCCACACGGUUUGGCUUUCUUUAUCAAACCGAAAGUCCCGUGAGACACAUUCUCUACGUUAGCGUCUUGUCAAGUUUCAGAUUACGUCUAAUAUAUAUAUAUAUUUUUUUGUUCUUCUUAAAGAAAUAAUAUGCGUCGGUAGCAACUUCAUUUAGGAUAUUAUGUAUUGCUGUAUUCACAUGAUCAUACAAUUUGUUAGAACUUAGAAGGACAACAGUCCACAACAAAUUCUGUAUAAUCAACAAAAUGACAACAACCCACAUUCCAAAUUAUUAAUAUAAAAUCCAGCUUUCAAUAUCAUAAGCAGUGUAUGAUCUUAUUUAAUACAUAGUCAUGUUUAAAAAAGUAUAGUUGCAAUAAAAUAAAGCUAAACCAGAUUUUCCUUUGAUUGUCAUCAUGACUCAUAAUGCAUAUUCUUCUUCACUCAAAAUUAAUAUUCAAUUAUAUAUGUAUUAGAAAAAUUAAUAUUCAAUUUUCCAUGUCAAUUCUCUAUGGGGUCCAAAUUCUGCGUAAUCUUCAUAUGGAUGCACUCCACCACUCCAAACAUCUCUUGAUUAAUUUUUAUAACGGAUAAAAAUAAUAAUUGAAAAUUUGUAAAACAUGGGAGCCAAUUGAAAUUUCAUGUUAUUAACAGUAUCUGCAAAUUGCAAUGGUCACCUCAUUAAAUAAAUUUUAGGGUACUCCAAUCAUGCUCCUUAUCUACCUUUUAAAAUAGGGAGGCUUCUAGCAUCUCAUAAAUUUGAGGAGACAAAAAGGACUCUUAGUGGUUCUAUAUAAUAUAAUGUUGCUUUGUUUAAUGCAUAUUUUAAAUUUUUAAUUAAUGUUAACUAAUUUUUUAUUAUAUAUUUUUUAUAGCAAUGAACCAAUCAUAUUGAAUUUAAAAAUAAUUAUAGCAUUUAUGACUCUCUAAAAUAAAUUUUCUGUGUUUUUAGUUAAAUUUAAACUUAAAAAUAAGGAACAUGAUUAUAGCAAAAAUAGAUAAAUAGAGAGAGGGAACAAAUUAAUGAAUCGUGGUGGGUCAUGUCUAUCUUUAAAGAAGGAAUUUUUGCGGUUUGUGGGGAUUGCCGGUGGCCUACGGCGGUAGAGUGACAUGAAAGUGAUGAAGUUGACGAACCCUGUAGGGCCAGUGUGCCACAAGGAAACAGGCCCAUCCACGGGCCCACAGAAAACCACAGCCCUUCUUCUUCUUCCUCCUCUUUCUUGUUAUUGCUAGACAAAUAGCUAGAGACUGCAAGUAGUAGCAGAGCAGUACUGCUUUGGUUUGCAAGUCUUCUUCUUGGAAGGAGCUGUGGUGGGUCCCAGCCGUACCGUGAGGAAUCGUUGCCGGCAUAUACAUCAUGUAUAUGGACAGCAUAUAAGACAGGCACCUCCCCUCCCCUCCCCUCCCCAUGCCGAUGCCCUCCUCCCUCCUCCCUCCUCCCUCCUUCAUCCAAUUCCAAUCAAUAUUCCUUUCCUACUAGGUUAUCACAACUCCUCAUCCUAACAUGUGUUACUGUUAUUUAAUAAUAAUAAAUAUGAUAAAAAAGCUGCUUUAAUUGUUUCCUAAAUUAUAUUAUAAUACAAGUCCCUUUAUCUUUCUUCUUAAUUAACUUGGUAGUAAAGAUAAACAUUUACCGCAAGCAAUUAAUAUAAAACGUUGAGAGAUUGAUCUGAAUCUGAUCAUCAAUGGACGGACCAUAUGUAUCAUGCAUGGUAAUUAAGUGAGAUUAGGGUAAUAGGGUGUGUGAUAAUAUUAUAUAUAUAUAUGGGAUUUGACCUAAUUAUGAGUCUUUGAAUCUUAUAUGUAUGACCACAGUAUCUGUAGGUAACGUAGUGUAUAAAAAAUCACAAGUUUAUUUGUUGUGUAUACAGAAACAUAUGCAUGGCAAAUCCAAAUCCAAAUUGGCAAAAGGCCUGAAAAUUAUAAUAGCGAGGCGAGAAAGUGGGACGAUCGAGAUGGACAAGACAGAGGAACAUGUGAUUUGCCUGGUUGAUGCAUGUGAGUGAUGGUGACAAGGGGGAGGACACGUGGUGAGGGGUCAUGUGUGGGUCCUAUUCCUUUGUGGCUUUCUUUUGGAUGGAGCAUAAAGUAGAGACAUGCUGUGACUGCUACUAGUGGUACAACAAUUUACAAAGGGGUGGAGGGAGGGAAAGGGGCCUGCACUGCACUGCAUGCCCUAGCUACCUCUCUCUCUCUCUCUCUCUCUCUCUCUCUCUCUCUCUCUCUAUAUAUAUAUAUGAAUUAAAGGUCGGUAGCUUGGGUGCUUGCUUGUAAGUUGUAAUGUAACAUGCAUGUUUAAACAGUAUUAAUACUGUAAAGGGCAAGAUAACAAAAAUCCAAUUUAUUCUUUGUAGGGCUGGAAGGAGUACAGCCAGCCAGGAGUGCUGUGGUGGUAAACUUCCUUGGAGCUAGAAAAGGGGAAUUCACGGGCUACAACUACCACUUGCAAAAGGGAAGGGACCAAAGCAAAGAUUCACCUGCGCAGAGAGAGAGAGAGAGAGAGAGAGAGAGAGAGAGAGCGAGAGCAUUGUGUGUGUGUGUUUUUUUUAUGGAUGCAAUGCAACAAUUAGUAUCUCGUAAAGGAAUUUUCAUAUCAAAAUGACAUACCAACUAACAACUUUUGCUGCCUUCCUCUUACUUUCCUUUCAUUGUCCACACUCUCAAAUCACUCACUCUCAAUUAUACAAAUAUUAUACAUGUCUUUUAACUUUUAACAUAAUCCACUAAGAGUACUACUCUUCGUCUAGUCCUUAAUUUACAACCAACCAACUUAAUUUGUCACAUUGCUUAAUGUACUGUAUGUUUUUCUUUAUUUCUUUCAUUCUACCCAAUAAUUUAACGUACUCUCUCUCUCUCUCUCUCUCUCUCUCUCUCUCUCUCUCUCUCUUUGUAAUUAACUUAACAUAAGUCAUUAAUAUCUAUUUACUCUUUAGAGGAGGAGGUCAUUUUAAUUAAGUUAAUUAGGGUGAUAAGUGUGACAUGCAGAUGCAGUGGAGCGUUCAUAUGUCAUGUCUGCCUGCCUGCCUGCUUGCUGUCAUUCAUUCAUUCAUGCAGCUGGUUCAACUCAAUAAUCACGUUAAACUAAAGUCCCAAACCUUCUCAAUUACAAAUAAGAUUAGAAUAAAUUGAGUUCGGACAUAUACAGUUGGAUUGACUCAAGUUAUAAAUUUCAUGUAACAUCCCGACCCAAAAUAUAUUUAUCCGUUAAUUUAACUAAUUUAAUAAAAUUUGAAAUUCCAAUUUUGCCAUCGGGGGUAGGGGUAUUAUAGUCAUUUUUUAAUCUGGAAGGAUAUGGGGGAAAUGACUGGUACCAUUAUGUAGAUCGUGCCGAGGUGAGUCAAUAGACACGUAGUGGACUUGAAUCAGAGUUGUAACGAAGUAGUUACGAUCAAAACAAACGAGUUGCAUAAGCGUAAAUAAUUCAAAAAUGGUUAAUAAAAACCUGAAAAUCUCUCCUCCCCCCCCCCCCCCUCCCCCCCGGCGCGCAGAACCCCUUACCUCGAUUUUUUUUAAAAGAACCAGUGGCUCUUUGAGCCACCACAGGCCACAGUUGGCCACGGGACCGGACCCAAAUUGACCAGCUCCGCUCCCUCUUCCAACCCCACCCCUUCUUAGCACCGAUCCGCCGCUCGUGUAGCCGAAAAUUGCAGAAAAACGUCCGAAUUUUUAUCCAAAAUUUUCGUAGCUCGUUCAAAUGAUUCCAGCAACCAAAUCGUGAGAACCAGGUAUGCUUUUCCAUCAUCUCAAUGUGCUCUAGCUGCUGGUUGGGUUAUUUAGGAUCAAUUUUUGCGUUUUGGUUGUCAUUUAAGCGAUAGAAGUUUUGGCCGAUUUUGGCCCUUGAUUCCGGCCCCUCCAGCCACUUUUUGGGGUUGGUCCAAAACAAAAGUUGCUCCACCCAAUGUCCUGAUCAUGUAGGUAUAAGUCUUUACCGGCGGUUUAGAGAUUUUCCGAUUGCCGGAAUCGCUUUGGACACCCACGUGCAGCCAGCGAGUGAGGCGGCUCGUGGGCAUUGUUUUGGUGUCCCUCUUGUUUCUAAAAUAAUCCUCAUGUCAUCCCGAGCACGACGGUAUACUCGGAUUUGAAUUUGGUUAUUAUUUGACCGUCGAUCGGAUAUCGCAUAUUAGACGUUAUCCGGGUUCGACAUGUUCAGACCGUUGGAUCGACUCCAAUUUAAUAUAUGUUGAUUUAGGCAUCCCUAGGAUUGUGUAGGAUUUCACGGAUCGUGAAUCGGAGCCCCGGAUGUUCCGAUUCAAUAACUUAAAGUUUGGGAUUAAACGAUAACUGUUUGAUCAUGCGAUUGCGAGUGAUCCGACCUUUCAAUACGACCAAACUUGCAGAGCAUGUAUUCUAAACCUUGUGGAACCCAUAGGAACUUCCGGUUAGGAAAUCGGCGGUCCAUGGCCCUGCGGGCCUGGUUAACCUUAUUGGGAAAGUUUGACCGCCCAGUUGACCGAGCGUAUUCCUAGGCUAUCCCAUCAUCCGAAACACGUAGUUGGACUUUAGGAAAGUCCUGUUCCUCGUGCACUUACUUGAAACCCGGAAAACUAGGAUUUAAUUUAAAGUUCACAUUCGAAGCGUUUUAUAUUAAUCUCAUACUCGUAUUCUGAAAUAGGUAAUUUGGCUACUCGCACACAGCAGGCGGGACCCUCUCAGGGUCAAGCAGCGUGGGACUAUUUGUGAGUGGACUUUGUUUUCAAAUAAUAAACAUUGUUUUAUGAUGGAAAAACUAUGCAUAUUGAUUUAAUGGUUUAUUGAAUAUAUUAUAUAUUCAAUUGUGGAAUUUAAUAUUAUUGUAAAGUAUUUGCAUUAUAUUCGGAUUUUGACAUAUUUGAGUAUCUUUAGUUUAUAUAUGUGAAUUUUGAGAAUUUCUAUAUUAUGAUUGAUUAUGUGUAGGGUACGUGGGAUGUUGGUUUGAGAUUGUGAAAAGAGAGUGGAUUAUAGUUAUGUCAGUUUGAAGUGCUAUAAGUACUACCCUAUGUACCUCCCAGAUUUGGAACUUUGGAUUUGGAAUGUUGAGAUACUUGGAUAUGUUGGAACUUAGACACCCAUGACGAGGUGUUCCGUAGACCCGUAGCGGGGUUAGUCUGCGCGCGUAGGACUUGUCACAGGCGUAUGAGUAUUGAGGAUUCUACUAUACGUGCUAAUGAGUUUAGUUCCAGUUGGACAACUCGUUCCCUAGCUACAUGGUCAAUUGAGGAUUCUUCCAUGUGGACUAGUCAAACAAUAUAUAUAUAACAAUUCAUUAAUUAUUAUUUAUCGGUGAGGAUACUUCUUCGCUCGCCGUGCCAACGAGUAUGCGUCUGGAAAGAAUGGUUCGGGUAUAUUGAAAAGGUUUUGAUUGGGUUGAGAAACAAAGUACCUUUAUGGGAUUUCGGAUUUCGUUAUGGUUUUGAUUCAACUAUUUAUACAUAUAUGGCUAUUUUCGGUUUUGAAUGCAUAUGGUUUCAUCAUAUUUUUCUAAACGGUGGGGUUAUACUAUGUUGGUUUCAAUUGUGAACUAAACUUGUUUUUGUCCACUCAUACUUUUUCUAUUUUGCACCCCCCAGACAGUAGCUAUAUUCGAAUCGAGCAACCGAGCCAAGAUCUCUACUUCCGAACUCUGAGCUUUUGUAGGGCUCUUUUAUUCAUUUUACUUCCGUUGAACUUUGCUUUCUGCUUGUAAUAUGAACUUAGUGAGAUUUGCUCUGUUAUCGCCCUGUUAGGGUUUGAUUGUGAGGCCAGAGGCUUUUGUGAACCUUCAUAUUAGUCACAAGAUAUAUCUAAAUAGUAACUUCACUUAAGUUUAAUGAAAUGAUCGUGUGACUAAUAUAAAGGUUCACAUGAAUGAUCUAUAUAUGGCAUCUUCACUAUAGAAUUUCGCUACCAGAAGGAUUACUAAGAGCAUCCACAAUGGGCUCCCUAAACCACCUCUUUAGACAAAUUUAAAAUUGAAAAAAUACAACUCCAACCAUGCUCCAUAUCCACCUCUUAAAAUAUGAAGACAUUUAAGAGCUCCUAAAUCUAAAGAGAGAGCAAUGAUUCCUAGUAACUCCCUAUAAUUUAAUGAUGAUUUGUUUUAUGCGUAGUUUAAACUUUUAAUUAAUGCUAAUACAUUUUAUUUUUUAUUUUUUACGGAGAUAGACCAAUCAUAUUGAAUUAAAAAAUAAAUAUAGCAUUUAUGACACCCUAAACUAUGGAGUGUGAUUAGAAUUCAAAUUUUAGAGAGAGCUUCUAAAAUAAUUUUUAUGUAUUUUUAGCUAAAUUUUAACUAAAAAUUAGGAAGUAUGAUUAUAGAUGCUUUAAAUCCAAGAUCAAAUCCUUCCCUGAUUCCUAUAAUCUAUAACCCAUUUAAGCUUCAGCCCCAGGCCCCAAGCCUGCGAUAACCAAAAGUCAAUUGCGCCGGGAUGUUUGAUCCAAAAACCGACCCCAAUAACCCAAAUUACAUAUUUGGACCAGAUUAAUAAACUCACAUUGAACUCCGAGCGAAACUUGCUCAAUUCAAUCCCUCCAAAUUCAUCAUCGUUGCCUAGUGACGAUAACUUUUAAUUGCUACAAGAAUAUUUGGGCCAAUUUACACCCGUAUAGCAUACCAACCUACAACUAUGUAUUGUUUUUUCUUCAAAAUCCUAACUAAUACAACAAUGGACCUCUCCUAUAAGGUGAAUAAAAAAUAAAUUACAAAGAUCUUCUGUUGCAGUAUCUCUUUCAGCGGACUCUCUGUAAAUGUUCUAAAAUCUUAACCAAGCAAAAGUUUCGAUAAUAUCUCUCCCAUGGUCUUCUCGGAUGUUUCGCCUUCAUUAUCCAUCUCCAAGCCAGAUUCCAGGACUGCAGCAUCUAGCACUAACUUUCUUUUUGCAAUCUCGUAAACGUUUUCAUCAACUGUACCCUUGGUGACUAGCCUGUUAAAGCACAUAAGCAGGUUAGAGAUCUACCAUUCACAAUUCAAGUCUACAACACAGACAAAUACCGCAGAAUGAAGGGAAAGAGAGAUGGCUUUUGGGGGGGCGGUGGGGCGGUGGGGGGUGAUGCUUUUCUGACAGGUAAUAGGUGAGGAGUGAGACAUUGGGACAUUGAAGGAGGAGCAACCUGUAUAUAGUAACAGGCUUCACUUGGCCAAUGCGAUGACAGCGAUCUUCAGCCUGUCGAUCAAUUUGUGGGUUGAAAUCCAUAUCAUGAAUGACUACAGUAUCAGCUCCAGUCAAGUUCAAUCCUUGGCCUCCAGCUCUUGUAGACAGCAAGCAUGCAAAUAUAGAAGUGUCGCUAUUGAAUGUAUCAACUAUCGUCUGUCUUUCAGUCACCUGAGUACUGUCAUUUGGAAGAUACAGACAAGAAACACAACUUAUAGUACAAAUAGCAAUUCAAAUUAACCACAAUCAACAGCUAUAUAUUCAACUGAACCUGAGCAAGUCAAAUAAUAUAAUAAAUAUUGAUACAAACGAUCUGUAACUGUGACAUAAGUAUGCCAGUACCUUCCAUCAAGUCGUCUGUAUGUAACCCCUAUCACAUCCAAUGUCCACUCCAAAAUAUCAAGCAUUGACGUCCACUGGCUAAAAAUAAGAACUCGAUGCCCAGCUUGCUUCAGUGAAGGAAGAAGUUCAGCCAAUGCCUAAUAUCAUUGACAAGAAAACCCUUCUCAAUUUUGAGCAGAAAGUAUCACCGAACAAUCCUAUCCAAAUUUGUUAGAAAACUUAUUGAAGUAACAUUAUACCUGAGACUUUGCUGCAAGCAUAACAUAUUUGUCUGGAAGAAAUCCUUUCUUAUCAGUGACACCAUGAUACAGUAAAAGCUGCAGAGAAAGAGAGAACAUACAUUGCAUCAAGAUAGAAUAUGCAAUCUGCUACAACUAAUAAUUACUGGGAAAUUCACUGAGGAGGAAAAUAUCAUAUUCCUAUGCAGCAUGAAUACUGCUUGUUUUGAAUGGCAGUACAAAAAAGAGGAGUCCCUGUGCAGACUCGUGAACACCUGAACCAUUUCAAUAUCUGUACAUAUAUUUACAAAUAUACACAUACUUAUAAUGUACAAAAUAGAUAAUCCAAUCAUUCCAAUGGAUUAAUAGUAUAAUAUAAUGCUCGAAAUACAAAUUCAUUUUUAAGAAGUUGAAAAAAUACCCGAUGGAUAGAGAAGUCACUAUAACUGUUAAGUUCCCCAAUUACUUUGUCUAAAGUACACUCAAAGCCAAAUGCACCCAUUGGAUGUAACUUUCUGGCAAAACGAACAACAUCCUCAUCACUGUAAAUACGCCUUACUAGUAAAGGAUGAUUUGCAAUCUAGACAGCAGGGAAAGGAAAAAAAAAACAACAAUAAGCACAAGACAUAUGUAAUCAGAACAAAAGAACUGGGAUACAAAAAACAUGAUAAAUUGAGACAGCAGCACCUUACGAAACUGAACAAAAUAGUUGGAGAUCUGCCGCCGGGGAAGAACUCCAAGGAUACUGUUCGAGUUAACCUCUGAGGUUUUUGCAAUACGAGCUUGUGAAGCUGCACGAUACUCCUCAAUGGCUUCUUUAUAGGCAUCUGCUUGUUCCUUUUCCAUGACAACAUACUCAACCUGCAGUGCAUUUCUCAGCUUCUUUCUAAAGUACAAAAGAAAUAACCAACAGAUAGACUUAUAUUUUCUAUAAGUAAGAGUAAUGAAAAACUCCACAAUAUGAAAAAAUAAGAACCUACGCAUAAACUAAUAACAUACCCGCUGUAUUUUUGGAACAAGUUGUUGCAUAACAUCAGAUUUUAGGCGUCUCAAAAUAAAUGGUCCCAAUAUGGAUUUCAUACGGCCAAUCAAAUCUCUAUCUUCAGCACUUAAUAGCUUUUUUAAGUCAACAUCCUCGGUAGUGAAAAGAUCUGGCAUCAUAAACUCCAGCAUAGACCAGAGCUCCUGCAAAAACCCACAAGUCAUUAACAAAGAAAUUUCUAAGAACUAAAAUGCAAGUUCCAAUAUAAAAUCAAUAGUAAACACUAUUGACUGAUGCAAUUCCACAUCUUCUAAACUCAAUUUUUUAAAAAAAAAUUUGAUAUAUCAUGUUUACAAAAUGAAAGAGGAAAUAAGUAAGUAACAUUCUUGAUAAGGUAUCCCCAACCCAAGGGAUAAUUUAACCUCACCUUAGCAAAUGUACAAACGCACAUCCUCAGACCUAAUCCUAAAAUUCAGAUAAUUCAAUCACACUAUAUCAUGACCAUCCAAAACACUUUAUUAUAUCCUUGUCUUCCCUCGAAAGGAAUCAGAUUCAUCAUUUUCAUCAUAUUCUAAUCUUCCCUUGGUAAGAUUGCAAUGCAAAAAGGCCAGUUUUCUGUUCAUUGAACAACGUGGCUAUUUAAGUAAUAAUCCAGAAGAUUAUAAAGGGUAUAAAGUAAUACAUGUAAAUCAUUUUGUAGAGGUGUCCCUGUCAGCAUUAGACGCUGGUUUGCACUUCGUGCAACAGACAUUAGGUUUUUCCACCUGUAGCUAUUUUUAUCCUUCAAAGCAUGAGCUUCGUCCAUAAGCACACAACUCCAUUGCCAACGUUUCAGAAUUUUACGAUCAUCUUUUUGCUGUCCACUGGAAGACCAUAAAUUAAAGGAAUUAAAAUACCAUAAAAUCAAAAUCACUUUCCACUAUCCAUAUGUAACACCGAAACAAACCUGUGUCUUUCAAAUAGUGAAUAGCACACGAGAAUAACAUUAAAAGGAGGCGGCAAUCCAGCUUUGGCCAAAGAGCUCAAUUCUCUUGAAUAUGCUGAUCGCGCAGCCCCAUGAUACUGGAGAACAGAAAAUGACGGGCACCACUUCUUCAGUUCCCUUUCCCAGUUUUCCAAAACCGAAGCAGGACAGACAAUCAAAUGUGGACCCUGGUCGUUGUGUAAAUGUUUCAAUAACAUCAAAUAUGUUAUAGCCUGUUCAACAAGAACAGAUAUUAGAAAACUAAAGUUACAAUUAUUAUUGAAACAGGUGAGGAGAAUGGACCCCCAGGUACCUGAAUGGUCUUCCCGAGACCCAUCUCGUCGGCCAAAAUGGCUGCAGAAAAUAAAGUAUGUUAAACUGCUAUGCUUUGAGAAGUGAGAUUAAACCUAGCCCCAGACUGUAAUAUGCUUAUACAAUCAUAAAACUAGCCUCAAAGGAAGAUUGAUAAACUUUCAUCUAUUUAAACGAAAUCACUUCAAUACAGAGCUUCUUAUGCUAAUUUCAAAUUACAAGCAGUUUCCUAGUUCUUCCCUAAAUUGAGUCCCUAAUGAAUGCCCUAUUUCCUGGCACAGAGCAAAAGAAAAGUACCUCCACUGAUACCCUUUCGAUACAACAGAAGAAGAAAGUUAACACCAACCAGCUGGUAUGGCUUGAGAAUAGGUUGAAAGUCAGAAUGGUCAGACCUACAUGCCGCGAUAAUAUCAUCCUGCAACAACAAAUCAAUCACCAUCAAUUGCCAACGGCAUUGAAAGCUGACAACAACUAGAAAAAGAAAAUAAUCACAAUACAUAACAAAAACAAAAAAUCCUUCGCACAGAAACCUAAAUUCAAAAAUUUUGUUUUGCUUUUUUACUUUCUUAUACAGCCACAUUCUCUUUCCCUGUAAAUGUUCAUCAUUUUCCUAACCCAAGGAAACAAAGGAAUGCCAACAUUUUGAACCACAUUUUCCACCAAUCAAAAUAACUAAAGGUAAGAGCUUUCCAACUCCAUGCACCAAACAACAAGAGUAUACUGAAAAGAAGAAGAUAAAAAAUAGAAAGCACCUGAGUGACAAUCCUCACAGAGGCAGCUUCCACUUCAGCAUAACGAUCAGACACAGCGGGAGCCGACGAGCCGUGGAGCUCCCUUCUCAAGUCGGCCGAUAUUUUGGCACACUUCUGCAAAGCCUUGCCAACCACAUCAUCCUCCUCCAACUCCUCUGCCUCUUCUUCUUCUUCUUCUUCACUCGUUGACUCUAUAUUGACCCAAUCUCCAUCGCUCUCCUCGUCCUCGAUGACGAACCGACGGCCAGGUUUGACGGGCCUGAUAACCUGAACCUCGUCGACGUCGUCGUCCUCCAACUCAUUUUUAAUUUCGACGCAAUCAUCAUCGUCGUCGGAGAGUUGUUGGGGCUUUGGGGAGGAGGCUCGGAAGGCGAAGGACUCAAUUGGAGGCGGCGUUGGGGUUCGAGGUUUCUUGAGGACUCGAGAGGGCUUGAAGGAGGAGGAAUGCUCCUCCCACUCGUCGUCGGAGAUUUCGAAAUCGUCGAGACCGCGCUUCAUAUCAUCGUUUUCAAAAACAAAAAAACCCAAAGUGAAAAAUGAGAAGAAGCCCUAAUUAAUUAGAAGGAGGAGUGAGUUGUGGUUUUACUGGUACUGUUAGUGGGUGCUGAGAAGAGAAGAGAAGAGGAAAGGAAAAGGAUCUUGAGGGAGCUCUCCCUCUCUAGUGCUCUACUUCGGGAGUGCAAGUGUCAAGGACGCCAAAGACCGCCAUUUCUUUCGGGAUAUUUGCCUUGCCCUCUUCUCUGUUGCAUUUGCUUCGUUUUUUUGUUUUUUUCUUAAUUAAUUAAACUAGAAUGGCUUUAUUUUAUUUUCUCAGAAAUGCAUUUCCGGAUGUAUGUAUUUUUUUUAUAACUUUGUUGGACCAAAUUACCCAUUACAAAAAUUAAAAUAAAAAGAAUAAAACGACUGCGAUGACGAUAUCAACAAUUAAUCUCAGCUUCUAAUUUAUUGACUAGCUUCAGGCCGAAAUUUAUAAUCCUUUGGGCUAACAUUUGGGUUUGCAGGAAAAGUAGUUGGAUCUCUAGCGUGAUCGAGAAAGUGCUUAUGGGCCUCUUCACUUGCUGUGCUGUUUUGAAAGCAUGAGGUUGGCCUUAUCAUUUUUAAUGUAAUAAGUCGACUUGGGCUUUUUUAAUUAAAAAAUCAACAACAACAAAAUUUGAUACAACCAGUAUUAUACUUUAAUAUAUCUAAUAUAAACUACUGGGGGAUAAAGUUUAAGUGAGGAGCACAUCAGCUCUAAUUAAUUUAGCUAAGCUCAUAUAUACUUUUAAAAAAGAAAUAUUCACUAUUAUACCAAAUAUAGAAGUCCAAAUUAUAAAACUACUUUAUAAGAAAUGGACUUUAGAAACGCACACAAAGCUCAUUUACAACAUAACAAAAGACUUUUAACUUCUUUUAAAUUACAAAACUGCUAUUGAUUUCUUAAAAUAAAUCCAACCCCAAAACCUCAUAAAAAUGGCUCAAAACACUUAAUAGGGCAUCAAAGUAAUUUAAUAAUCAGAAUUAAAUUCAAUAAGGUCAGCUGUCAUUUUUUGGGUAUUUUUUGGGUUUGUUUAUAUAAAUUUGUAGGGGUCUUUUUAUUCCAGCAGCCUGACGGAUGGGCUUGGACUGCCGAAAAGAGAAACAAGUGAAAUUACCCCGUGUACCUAAGUUCAAGAAUCAGGCCCCAAGAAUGCUUCGAAAGGGUAGUGAAGCCUUAUGAAGCAUCUUGGUUACCUUCACCAACAAAAAUAAUGGAUGCUUACAGAUAAAUUCUUAGUGUUUGCAGGUAGAAUCUUAGCUUGGCAUGAGAGACUUGUGGCAUGGGAGCAAAACAAUCAUGAGUUUAGCAUAAACAAAAAGAGGGCUGUGAAUUCCUAUGAGAAACAUGGGUUUUAAGACAAGGGGGAAUGGAUUCUAAGAGGGUUUGUUGAAGAAGGAGAGAGAUGGGGGUAUGAUGGUGUGUUGAGUAGUUUCCGGCAGCUUGACGAAAAGUCUGUCAAUCUCUGGAGUGUUUUAACAGAAGAGAAAAUGGGAGGAGAUAGAUAAAUAUGGCUCAAAAUUGCAGAGGCUUCAUGGAGGGGAGAUAAAGCUUGCUCCCCAUAUGUGUGUUGCUUAGGAUAAAGAAGAAGGAGAUAAAAGGUGAGGCACUUGGGCUUGAUGUUAGCAGUUAGAUAAUAAGCUUGCUCAACUGCUCUAGUUGAGUUUAAUGGGUAGGAGGUACCUCCUUUUAUAGUCGUUAGAAGCUCAUCCUUCUCAAGAAACCCUAAUGGGUUCUCUCUAAUUUUGCCAAGUCUCUCCUUUCAUUUCUCUUCUCUCCCUUCGAUCAAUCCCAUUUUGUGAAAUUAUCCUUUGCACAAUCGCACCAAAAACAGGGUUUUGGGAGCUCUAGGCUUAUCAGUGGUGAUUUCUUAUUUUUGGCUGUCAUUUCUCCUCCUUUCCUCUCCUACUUCAUGGCAAGAUCUGGUGGGGGGGGAAUGGGUAUGUAUGCUGGUUUGAAUGGUGUUUUGCCUAAACAUCCCUUGGUUUUCUUGAUGGAUUGCAUUGGGUUUGUCUUUGGCCAUGUGCUGGAGUCUCCCAGCUUCCUGAGCCUACAAACAUCUCCUGGUUUUCUAUCAUGGUUUCAUUUCAAACCAUGUGCUAGGGAUUUUUUGGAUAUUUUCUAAACCACUUGGGCUAUUUGGGCCUUCCUAAGGUGAUGAGUUAGUGUAUUUAAGGGAAUGGGCCAACCUCGUAAGUGACGGACCAUUUUUAUUGAGAUGAUGAGCUAAUUUUUCCUAAAGUACUGGGCUAUUUCUUUCUUUUAUGUUUACCCACAUGUUUGGGCUCAAGAAAUGAGCUUGAGUAUUGGGGCUCCCAAGCAACCCAAACUUUCAUUUCUCGGCUCAUCAAUAGGCCUCAUGAAAGCUCGUUACCAUCCAUACCACAACCCACUCAAGCAAGCUCCGGGCGCUUGCGUGGCUUGGACCUACUUAAGCUUGUAGUGUGGCUAGGUGUAAUAAUAAUGAUUUUUCACUUGGUAUUGCAUGUCGCUUGGGGUGCUUGAAUUUCGUAUCCUUUAAAAAGGGAUAUGAUGCUUAACGGGAUAAUUAGCAUGAGCUUGUAGAGUCAAUGCCUUUUAUAGGCUUAUUUCGAUUCUUAGCGUGACGGAUUGCAUAUUUAUUUGGCAUAGCACAUGGUCGUGGCUCGUGCAAGCGUGAAUGACGAACUUUCGCGUGCUCCAAAUCGGGUCUUUUCUUAAUAAGGCAUUGCGUUGGGCUGAGAAUUUAUUUGGGCACAACCUUGAAUUUUUGGGCCUCAACAAAAUUAAAUGGUUUAGGGUUUAUCUAUAUUAUUAGUGCUAAGAAUUGAUAUAUGACUAAAUAUCUCUAAAAAAACGAAUUUAUGAAAUGAGGAUGCAAGAGAAACACAUUCUAAGACUGUUCGACCAAUAAAUAAAGAAAUAAAAUUCUAAGAACGUUAGCCGACAACAAGAUGCAGGAAAAAUACUUGGGUGAAAUGAGAAUAGCAUUAUUUUGCUAUCCUCGGUCAAUCACAUUGUGCCGCGCUUUAUAACUUUUACACAUGGUAGUUUGUGAUUCGAUGAAAAGGCAAAAUAGUAUUAUUCCCGUUUUGCACAAAUUUUUCUACAAGAUAAUGGCCACCAACAGAUAAUGAGGAUUCAUACAAAUUCUUGCAGUCAAUUUGUUGCCAACCCAUUCAUGUAUCAUUCUCGUGACACUUAUUUUCAGUUUCUUUAUUAUUAUUAUUUUUAUAAUUAAUCUAAAUUAUAUAUUUAAGGGGUGAUUGUAAUGAGGGUAAUAGAGAUUUUUUUUUCCCCAUGGUAAUAAAUCUUAACCGCUGCCAAUGGCCAUAAAGAAAAUGAGAAAAUGAAGCAUCCUACGAGAUCUCCUUCAUCACCUGGAAAUAAAAUUAGGGGGAAGGUAGCUACUAGCUAGUACCAUUGUUCAAGCAUUUGAAAUGCUUUAAUUUUUCUGUUGAUUCCCUUGAAAAAAUUAAUAUAUAAUAAAAUUCAUAGCUAGAGACAUGAUGGCGAUGAUCAUCCUUCAACGACCAUGAGAUUGCAGGCCUGCUUCUACUUUGGCCAUCAAAAAGGCACUAGUCAAACUCGAUAUAGUUAUAGCACUACCAGUAAAAAAUUAUUAAUUAUAUAAUGAGGUUUUGAAUGGUUUGGUCAGCCACUGGGAUCACUAGUAGAAGCCACCGCAUCUAAAUGGUUGCCAUUGCUGAUCUAAUCGCCACAAUUACUGUACAUCUAUGGCACCAAAUAGAUGGCCACGAUGUAUUUGUGGCUGAAAAACAAUUAGACAUGGAUAUUGAGACAAAAUGGUACUUAUUUUUCAAUUAUUACACAUAGUCACGAUCAAUGUGUAAUGUCAAUUCGUCUCCUCAAUCUUCAUUGAUAGAUCAUUCUUACAAGAAAAAAAGAGAUAAAUAUUAUAUUAUUAUGAUAUUUAGUUGUGAUGAAAUAAAUAAAUGAACACUUUUAUUACCCAAAAAAAAAAAAACUAAAAUGAUUAUUUUCUAAUAAAAUGGUUGAAAAUUUUAUAAUUUUGUGUAGAGGGUGGGAUGAAUAAAAUGCAAUGUAGAAAGAGUCUCCUCUAGCUUUGAUUGAGAAGAGCACCAAUAACAUGUUGAAGUGCACCACCACUCUUAGGUUUUGCACUUUGUGCUCAUCUCCGCUUUGACCAUUGCUUCCUUGCAUUCACUUUUGCCCCUUGUCAACUUUGAUAGGUUCUAGAAAUAAUCUUGUAUUUUCAAGCAAUGAGCUGAUGAGGACAAAGCAAAGUGAUGAGUGGUGGCCAACUUGCAAGUGCUAACUCCUCCACCAAUAUUUCGCAUUCAACGAUUUGGUGAUCGUUCUAUAGAUCAUUUGAGAAAUGGAGAAUAUAUACAGUUUAGUCAUACGUCAUGAAUCAUGAUGAUUUUCAGUCAUUCUAGCUACCGACUGUACUCAGUUUUUUUUUUUUUUUUUUAACUUCCCAUUUAUAUAGUAUGUAUAUAUUCUGUAAAACUUUUUUUUUGGUCGUAUUUUAGGAUAUUUUUUACAUUUUCCUAAUUUUCAACAAAUAAUAUGUAUGCUUAAUGUUGGGAGUUGACGUAAAAUAAAAGAGUCAUAUAUGUCUCUUCUCCAAUAGAUUAUGCGAUAGGAGGAGAGAGAUAAAUUUAUUUCACGUACAUUCAUUCUCCCAACCCAAGAAAGAGAUCGAAUGGACAUUUAUGGUAAAACUUUAGUUCCCCUUGUUACACUAGCUCAUUAGCUGUUGAACAAUUUGAAGCAGCUAGGAACUUUAACUGGUUGUUCUUUUGCAUGUGAUUAGACUUUUGGGAUAGGUUUCAGUUCUUUUACAAGAACUGAAGAAAGUCAUAUCAGAAAGAGUGAACCGUUGACUUUCCAAAAUAUAACCCACCAUUUACAAAUUACAUACAUAUCUUGAUGCUCUGUAGCAAUUAAGGUCUUAUAAUUUGAUGUUACAUUGAGUUCAUAUAUCUUCUAAUAACUAUACAAAUAACACAUCAAAGUAUUCUUAGAAUAAUAAUUCCGAGAGAUGAGUUAAGUUAUCAUAUCGUAUUUCGUCAUCAGCUGAUUAACACAAAUAUGUAUGCAUUAUGCAAAUAUUGUGAAGUAGUAACUAUUAAUUAGGCCACAGCUGAAUCUUAAUCCUAAGCCGAAAGCCAUAAUACAAGAUAGUUGCUUCCCAUUCUUUUGAGAAGAUAUAAACUUAACAUGCAUGCACUGAGGCUUUUUUUCUUCUUCUUCUACACUAUAACUGAUCGCAUUGACAACAAGAAAAUAUGAAAUAUAAAGUAAUCUCAUAGCUUAUCUAUACAAACAUCCUCUAUAUGUUGGUGUCCAAUAGUCUGAUCCUGUAUUCUCACGAUAAACCUGAGGUGUGCAUGAAAUAGGCACCAAGCAAAGGCCUUUGUUCUUGAGGUCAACCUUUGCAUCUCCCUUGUGAUCUUUUCUAUCGGUCGCCCAUGGAUCCUAAAACCACCAACACUAAUUGAUUAGCAUAUAUACAAAUUGUAAGCAUGCUUGAUACAUAUGUGUGUGUGUGUGUGUGUGUAUGUAUAUGUAUACGCAUGUACGUACCUUGUGUGAAUUUGUCUUCAAAUAAGGGCUACUCAAUAGCUGCAAAAUCAUGGAAAUGUAGCUUAGAGGAUGUAUAUAACAAUCUGGAAAUACUAUUUUCUUCGAGCGUAAAUCGCAACAAGAGAUUCAAACAAAUUAUUAAAAAGAAAGAUUAUAUAUGAUAAUAUAUACCACAUGCACUUGGUCUUGCAGGAACUUGAUGUACUGAAUCGCUUCAUAUAGUACAGAUGCAGUAUCAGUCUGAAAAUUAAACUAAAUAUAAUGAAUAUAUAUGAUGAUGAAUUAUGAAAUAGAGAGUGUGAAAAACAAGAAUUAAUCCAGUUGAAAUGAAAAUAAUAAGUAGCAGGUUGUACAUGUGUGGCUGAUUUCUACUCACCUUUCCAAAUGGAGACACGAUUUGUUGAAGGGCCGUGAUCCUGUCUCCGAGCUUGACUUUUGGUGCCUGCAUCUGUCGAUUCAAUUUGUAAAUUAACAAUUCAAAAGGCAAAAGUUAAUAUUAUUAUAUCCGAAUUAAUUAACAAAGAUGAAGCGUGAUUUCUUUUGUCCUUUGCCUUUUUCUUCUCUAUAGAGUACCUUUACAGAUGAUGAAACUGUAGAAGUUUCUUGCUUAGGCUUUUUCAAGACUGUUUCUGAUGAUGUGUCGUCCGUUCUUUUCUUCUUUCCUUCAUUUGCAAUCCCUUGUCCUCUUCCACUACUCACUCUUGUCUGCGUGUUAUGCAAAGAAAUUGAAAAUCAUUAAAGGUAAAUUGACUUUAAGAAUAAAUUAAUCACUUGAUUGAUUGAGCAUACCGAGGAAGCUUGCUUCUUAGAAUAUUGAUCAGAUAGGUUGGAAGAUUUGAAACAGGGCUUGGGUGCAUGAAUAUCAACCAAGGCCGACUUGUUGCCUAAUCGGCUACUAAAAGAUAUAACAUCUGCAAAAUUUCUGGCACCGGCACUCGUAGCACCGCAUGAAGAAUAAGAAUCGGGCAAAAUUGAUCCAUUUCCAUAAAAGUACUUGCCGUUAUGGUGAUCUGCAACCAUUGCGUUAACGUUGUUGAGGCCAAUCUGAUAUUCAAUGCCAUUAGUAUUAUUACCAAACGACGGCGUUAUUCCAUGUAAAGCUCCUCCUCCUCCUCCUCCUGCUACGCAUGCAGCCUCAACCUUGCUACCAUAACAUGAAAAUAAACUGGAUCCCGAGUUUCUAUUUGUAAUAUUAUUAUUUCCCAUCUGAGCAUCACAUGAAGUCGAAUCGUUAUUGAUGAACGCUUGCGGCUUCAAGUAGUGAUGGUGAUCAUGAUCCAUAACUAGCUGUGGUUCGGGGGGCGCAAUGGACCAGGUGCUCACCAGAUUUGACAGCUUGGUUAACCUUUCGUUCUCAAUAUUAACAUUAUUAUUCAUGUUGUUGUUCUCCAUAAACCCUCCAUUUAAUUGCUUCUCGAAACUGUUGAAAUUAUUCGAUGCAGCUGAAACGUACUUUGUGAACUCCCAAGUACUGUUGUCCAGUUUCUUCAAGUAGUCACAAGCAGGUUCAUACAUGACAUGAUCAGUUGACAAGCUCUUGGACGACAGCGCAUCGAGAAAAUUCUCUCCAACAUCAUGAUCAUUGUGGUGUAAAUCACUGUUUCCAUUAACGCUUCUGCAUGCAUGGUUCAACCUUAAACAUCAAUCGAUUAUCACAUAUACAAGUUAACCUAAGUUUUUAUAUGAAAUCAAUAUCACCCUUUUAAUUACUAGCUGCCCUUAUUAUAUGAAAGUACAUAUCAUACAGAAAAUUUGGCUACUUACAAGAGAACAUGGUUCCAAAUAUGAUUGUCAGAAACCUGCUCUCCGUUGAUCAUAUCGUUGUUGGGAGACGCAGAACGCUGAUCAGCAACCUGCAGUCUGCGAGAGGAGUCAACGCUAAGGCUUGAGUGGUUGGAGGCAUUGGUAAAGGAAGUGCUGGAGAUUGAAACAUCCUGGUCAACAUCAUCACAAUUAUUAGAAGAGUUGGAGUACUUCUGGUUUGGCUGCUGCUGAGGCGGCUGUGGCUGCCAUGGGUUGAUACCCAAGUUGCUCCAUGAAGACAGCUGAGAGCCUGCUGCCCCUGCACCUGCAGCUGCAUGGAGAUCCCACCAGUUUGGUUGUGCUAGCUGUGGAGAGGAAGAAGAGAUUGCAACACAAGAAGUACUUUCUCUGCAUUCUUCGGCCAUUUUUCUGGACUUCAAUAAUCUUUCAGUCGUUCUUUUUCUCUUUGUAAGUGAGUAAUUAAUGGCGGUGGACUGGAGAUGCUGUGUGUGUGUGUGUGUGUAUGGUUGGUGGUGUUUUUAAUUGAGCUAGUCCUGUGUUGCUUUAAUUCUGAGCUGCUGGGGUGGUGGUGGAGGGUUUGGAAAUAAUUUUUCUCAUGGGAUUGGAAUGGAGAUAUAUAUGAAUAUGAAUAUCCGUUGGGUGGUGACGUACGGGGUUGUAGGUUUUAUCAAAUCAAUUAUAGGGGAGACAAUAAAAUAUGCACCCUCAGUAUUUCCACUAACGUUCGUGGGCAAUUAUUAAUUUAUAUACGGACAUAGCUAGCUGGGCCACCAAUACCCCGGACAGACCCAGAGUUUGGUUUAGUUUAGGGUUUCUUCUUAAUGCCCUUCACUCAUAGUCAUACAAUACAAAGGGAGGAGUUUGGUCUAGGAUUAGGGUGGAAGCCUGCAUUGCAUUUGCAUUUGCAUGUAUCUCUCUAUUUAUUUCUUUAUUCACUAGCAUUGCAAGCAAAAUACCACAUUCUUUUCGUAUGGGUAAGAAGCAUGACACGACACUACUCACUCGUAAUUAAGCAAAAUACCACAUUCUUUUUUUUUGUAGGUGGAACCAUUAUUUUCUUUCCAAACAAUUAAUUUUAGUUAUACAAAUCCAUAUAUGGGUUGCAAUUUGCAAAUGAGAUUUCUCUUAGCAUCUGUUUCAUGGAUAUGUUUGGUAACCUUGUCAUUCUGAUUAAGUUUUAUGUAAUGCACUAUUUAAUUGUUGUUAGAUAAUACUAAAGAACAAUAGGGAUUAUUGUCACGCACUAAUUUAUACUAAUUACUGUUGUUAUUGAUAAAAACAAAGCUAGUAUAUGUUGUCUUUCUCUUUCAAAUACAUACAUUAUCGUAUUAAACAUGUUUCAGUAGAAACCCUAAACUCUCUCUGAAGGUGAAACUGUGGAUCUGUAUUGUAGGUCUGAGUACAGAUGCUUCUUGUUUUUAGGUUUUUCUGGCAUGCGUAAUUCUCACCAUAUCAAACCAAUUUAUUUUUGUGUUUGGUCACUAGACAUGUUGUAUUUAUAUUUGGCAUUGCGACUACCCUGUACUUUUUUUAUGUGUUAUCAAUAAAAUUACUAUCGCUUUUAGUAAAUAAAAAAAUACAUACAUUACCAACAUAUUUUCUUACUUUUUUUUUUUACAGCCAUGUGUGAAAUGAGAAUAACAUUAUUUUGUAUAUCCCAAAAUCAAUCACACUUUAAUUGCAAACAGUAGUUUAAUUUUGAAUAAUGCAUGAGCGUGACAAUGGUGAUCGAUGAAUGUACAAUGUUUGAGUGUGAGUCUCGGAGCAUGGUCACCCAAAGGAGAAUAAUAAUGGUGCCCUUGACAAUAAAAUGAUAUGAAAUUUGCAUAAUAAAUAAUAAAUAUAUUUAGUAUCUUUUUACUUUAUUGUGUAAUUAAUAAAUCCGAUCUUUUAAAAUGAAAGGUGUUGUUUCUUGGCCUUUGCAUACAUGGUCUAGUUGGUGGGUGUUUUUAUUAAGUGGCACUCUGCAUCACUCUACAUCAAAGUUCCACUUGAGAAAUUUCCAACCUUUUUAAUUUCCUUCUUCUUCCUCCAUUGAUGGCCCAUUGGCUGCACAAGGAAGUGAGCUUUUUGGUUUCUUCAUUGUAACACGAAUGACGGUGUGCAGUUAGUCACGUUAAUUUUAUAAAUUAAACUCUAGCUUCAAUAUCAUCCACCCAAAUAAUAUAUCUUUUAUUUCUUCUCUCUAGUCUCUAGGUUUAGAGUGGAAAGUUUGAUUAGGUGGGGACCAAAUACAAACCAUAGGUUAGGCGGCGUUAUAUAUAUAUAUAUAUAUAUAUAUAUAUUUACUUAUUAAUUUGGUUCCUGUUUAAACAAUAAUGACUUUGAAAAGUUCAUAUUCUUUUCUUUUAGAAUUUAGUAUUCUCAAUUGUUUUCUAAUUUAAUUAUGGGGCAAAGAUAAAUCUUCCAGGACGAGACAUCUUUCUGGUAAAAAGAUAUGAUUUGGAUGAGAGAAUCAAGCUCUGCGUUUGACAAACUCUAUCAACUAAAGUUGGAUAUGGGUAAGAUUUGAAAGAAGAAGGCUAACUCCCAUUAUGUAGUUUGUAUCUUAUUUAUAUGCAGUGAAGGUCUAUUUUACAUACACAUACACGCAUGUAGAUGAUUGCUUAAUCGAUAUAUUAACUUUAAAAAAUCAAAAGAAGAAAUGAACUUAUAUAUACGGGCUCGUUUGAUAACUAUUUUAAUUUUAGUUUUUAUUUUUCAUUUUUCAUUUUUUUGUGUUAGAGAUAGAGAAAAAUGAGUGUGAGGAUGAUAUUGAGAAAGAGGAUUAGAGGAGAAGAUGGGAUAGAGGAGUAACAAAAAUGAAAACAAAAAUUUUAGAGUGAAAAUUAUUUCAAAUAUAUUUCAGUUUUUAGUUUUUGUUUUCACUUUUGUUUUCAUCCUCCCCUCUCAUCUUCCCUCUCAAUUUCAUCCAAAAACUGACUUACUCUUUGACUAACCUGAGCUCUUUUUAAGCCUAAACUAAUACACCCAUCCCACCCACUGAAUAGCCCUGCACUGCGCUCUCAUAAUCCCCCUUCACCUCUUUUUCUCUCUUUUCCUUUUGGUACGAAAGGGGCCAAAUGCCAAACAUAAAAAACUCCUAUUCUUUUAUUUUUUGGUAAAAAACAACCCCUCUUAUUUACUUUUUUGGUAAAAAAAUAACUCCCCUUCAUUUCAUACACCCCUACACGUAGAAAGUAUAAAAGAAGUAUUGUGUACUAAAUGCAUUUUGAGGGCUAAAACUCAUUAUAUCAUAAUGAUUAGGUGUAGUCUUUUGUUAUCAAUGAAUUUCACUUUGUACUAUCAAGUUUAAAAACUAUGUGCGUAAGGUAAAUUUAGCCCAUCCCAAUUUGAAAUCCCGGGACGUCCGUCCAUUCCAUCUUCACUCUUAUUCUCACUUUCAUUCUCCCUCUUUUUUCUCUACAAUCUAGCACAAAAAAUAAAAAAUAAAAACUAAAACUGAAAUGGUUAUCAAACGGACACGUAUAUGCAUGCGCAAAAGAGCAUAUGCAUUUAAAAUUUCAUUGUCAAUAUUAUAUAGCCUUGAUCACUAAGUAACCAACCUCCUUUGUUUUGUAUAUAAGUGGUUUUUGAAUCGAUAAUUCUUGAAAGAUAACCUAAAAACUGAAUAGUUCUCAUAAUUAGUUUACGGUCUAUAAACAAGAUAGUCUUAUUCGAAGGAAAAUAAAGACAUCUUUAUAAAAGCCCCAUAUAGAACCAGGUUUUGGCCAAAAGUAUUCAUCAUGAACCAGCUCUUGUUCCAUGUAAAGUGAAUGAAUUGGAAUAGACUGACUUUCGAGUUCAAAGCCAAUCAAGAUUUCCUCGUCGACAUUCUUUUCCAUUGGUAUAAUCUGCGGUAUCUCUCCUUCAAAAGCUACAUGCAAUUAAGCCUUUAAUUUUUGCUUUAGUGGAAACAAAAACUCCGCUAACUUUUGUGUGUAACGAAUAGAUAAAACCUUGGUGGCUUUAGACCUGAUGCCAAAACCAACCAAACAGAAAUGGCCACUUAUUUGAAAUUAAGAUAAAUUAAUGCGAUAAAAUCCAUAUAAUUAAGCGUAAGCUUAGGUCGAUGCACUGUUGGUGAUGGAAAUUAAGGUAGCCAGUGAGAUUGAACCGUGAAAGAUUUUGUUAGAAAUAUAUCAACAACAUCCAACUGCAACCGUACGAUUCCGCCCAUGUUGGAGAGAUUUUGUUUAGGAUUAUCAUGCCAUUGCCAUCACAGAUUCACAGUAACUAUAGUUAGCAACUAAACUAAUCUUAAUUAAGCAUAUAAAUAAGUAUGCUCCCCGUAAAAGUUAGGUGAAUUAGAUACACAACACAUGAGCUUGAGUGCCUAAGACCCAAAUAUGAUAAGAGGUCCAUUAAGCAUAGUGGCAGCCAUUGUCGUUUCUAACUUUCCUGGACAUGUUUCAAUUGCUUUCCUGUGAGAAAGCUCCAUCCAUGGAAAGGGUUGCUCGACACGUGUCAUUGGAAAGCCCGAGUCUCCUACUUUUGAAAUAAUUAGAUUGGACGGGACAAACUAAAUUCGUUCAAUAGCACGCCACCUUUAAACAAAUGAAAUGGAAAAGGAGCAAAUGAUUUAUUAAUCAAUUCAUGUAAAGCACCAAAGGAAUGAAUAAUAUGUAGUUAAAUAUUAAUUAUUUGGUUUAGUGGUGCUCCUUCGUUUCUUUACAUGUAAUGUAGCCACAGCAACCUUACCAAGAAAUUGUAUAACGACAUUGCAUCUCUCUUUGCAUAUAAACUAAAGUUUGACGCAUAUAUAAAAAUAAUUUCUCAAAAACACAACAAGAAAAAUCUCAACACACAUAUCGAAAUGUGACUAGCAAGAAAAUAGAAUUUCCUACUUUCAGAAAAGCAAACAAUUAUUUUCCAUUGUAUAAUACAUGUUGACCUAUUUAAGUAAUUUGGUAGGGAGUGAUUAGACACGACUUUCUAAUAAUUUAUUAAAAGUCAUUUUACUUGGUGUAAGAUUUCCAAACUCUCUGAGUCAUUCGAGUCCAACUCAUCAACUAAAACAAAAACAAAAAAACCUUUGAUGGCGACUUCACAAAUGUCAACUAUUUGUUUUGAUUUCAAAUCAAAAUCUCAGUGUUUUAUAGUUCUUAAUUUCCCAUUAGAUAUGGUUUUGAAGUAAUUAAUGGAACUAUAAUUUUGUGGUUCACGCACGGCUUUGGUGUCCUCCAAUUACCACAUGAAGAAGUGCUCUGCGAGAGGAGAGUAGAGAGAUGAUUGCCUGGUUUACGUAUCUGAACUUUUUCUUUUGGUUAUAUACUUUAUUACACCAGACACACAGAUACAUCAGAAGAAUAUUGGUUUGUAAUUGUUGCCAAAUAUAUAUAUAUAAUACUUGUGUUUUGUAUUUCUCCUCAGGCAUGCGUAUGAGUCUGCGAGUCUAUAAAAUUUUGACCAUCCUAAUUAAAGAAAAGGGUGGCAAGAAAAGAAUGCACAUUGAAACAAGUGGUUGUGGUUAAAAGGCAAAAAGGAUGAAUUUAGGCAUUGACAAGCACACCAAACCAAACGCAUAAUUGUCAGUGUAAGAAGGGAAUAUACAACAGCACCCAUCCCAGGCCAACCAAUGAAAAACGUGUUGCAUCUUUUUUUUCUUAAAGGUUACAACCUACAUCCUUCCUCUCUACUUUUGUUAUUUAAGAGUUGCUAGAGUGAGAAAAACAUGGACUUUUGUCUUAAUAAAAAAUAUUUAUCUUACAUUUUAGCGAAGUAAGAGCAUUUAUUGGGUUUUAAACAUGUUACUCUAUAUAUAUAUACUAACCUCACACGUGUCAAUAUAUUUUUCUAUAUAUAUUGAUUUCUACUUGAUAUAUUGUAUUUUUUCUCGCAGUUGAAAUAUCAAACACCGAAAACCUUAUUGUGCCUGUAUAACCUUAUUUUUUGAGUUUUUAUAGAAAAUAGCUAAAAUUUACCUUUACUUUCAUAAAUGUCAGUUUUUAUAAAAACUUUCAAAAAUAGCAAAAAACUCACCUAAAAAUACUCAAAACUAAAACAGAUAAAAACCCUAAAAAAGCAAAACAUGGAAACAUACAAUCUUUGUUUUCAUUUGAUUUCAAACAUAAAAACUCCCUUAUGUUAGUAUCUGUUGUCUCUGUCACUGGGCUUGAAGCUUUGGUAGUAUCUGUUGUCGUCAGCCAUGCUGAUGCUAUCAUCAUUGGAUGCCACACACAACUCUUUGUCAGCGAUAUAUGGACUUCAAAGUUGCUAAUUAGAUUCCAAUAUGAACUUCUACAUUGCGAGACGGAUCAAUAACUCUAUGAGUGCCUUGUUAAAUAUAUAAUACAAAUAUAUGACUUAUUAGAGAUAAUUAAGUAAUUAGAUAAUGGAGAUGAAGGAGAUCAUAGAACAAAAGCUUUGCUUCAACUAAAUGUUGGGUGGAUGCAGUACUCAUAGUACACUAGAACUCAUGCCACUUAUAAAUAAUAAUGGAGGCACUAGAUAGGAAUAAAGUCAUAUUCAUGGUUCAACUCCUCCAAUGAUAUAACAUGGGAUCGAACCUUUGUUUUUAUGUUUAAAAUCAAAUUGAAAAUAGAAAUUGCAUAUUUUCUUUUUAGAUUUUUGUGGGUUUUUACGUUUGAGGGCGUUUGAGUAUUUUAGGUGAAUUUUUUUACUAUUUUUGAAAGUUUUUAUAAAAACUGACAUUUAUAAAAGUAUGGAGCAAAUUUUGGCUAAUUUUGAUAAAAACUCCUAUUUUUUCAGGUAAGGAGCUUAUAACUCGUAGUUAAAAGCAAUUACAUUUGCUACCGAGGUUUUGGGCCAAUUUGGCAUUGUUAUGCUGUGAAAAUAAUCAUUGUCAUAUUUGCUGUGAGAGAAAUCAGUUGUGAGAGAAAGCAGUUUGACGUUUGGUAAACUUUUUUUAAAAAGUGUUGUUGGUACUCAUUCCUGCAUAAUUAGAAAAUAAUUGCCGUAUAAUCGUUAAACUCAGUGCCUUUUCAAAACUGAUUCUUGCAUAAUCAAAAAAUGAAAGCACCUCAUUAGCUAUUUUCUCUUAUAGUUUUCUCUCAAAGUAAUUUUUAACAAUAAGUGCCCGUUUGACAUUACUUAUUUGGGGUGAUAAGUAAUUUUUUAAAAAAAAUUGGGAAGCCAGCCCGUUUGGUAAACUAUGAGAAAAUCACUUAUUGUUAAAAAUUACUGUGAGAGAAAGCUAUAAGGGAAAAUAGUUAAUGAGGUGCUUUUAUUUUCUGAUUAUGCAUGAAUCAAUUUCGAAAAGGCGAUAAGUUUAAUGAUUCUGUUGCAAUCAUUUUUUGAUUAUGCGGGAAUUAGUACCGACAACGCUUUUAACAAAAAUUUUAUUAAACGCCAAACAGUUUUUUCUCACAGAAAAUCUGACAGCGAUUAUUUUCACAGCACAACAAUGCCACACUGGCCCUAAGUGAUUUUCUUAUAAUUUACCAAACAGAUUGGGCUUUUCAAAAUAAAUAAAAAAAUCACUUAUCACCCCAAAUAAGCAAUACCAAAUUGGCACUUUGUGUUUGAAUUCGUACUCUCCCAAUCUGAAAAUGGAAAACAUGCAAGGAUGGAUUGUUAAGGAAAUACCAAAAAAGAAAAGAAAAAAGGAACGACCCAUAUUGUAAAUUGGGGAAAUGGAAAUUGGCGGUAUGGCCCAUCCUUCAUAUAUGGGCCCUGUAAAGAGCGUGACCAAUCCUUCUUAUUGAGCUCAUCUGCAAGGUCCUGACCGUCGAAAUUGAUAGGCCCACGCUUUGGCGACUGUUGGCAUGCUUGCGGCAUCUUUCACCUGAAAUCCUCCUCGACUACCCAAACCCUUACCCUUCGAGUUGUCCCAAAUCUACACAAAUACCCCUACUAUAUAUCUCUCGGUCAAACUCGGGAUUUCAUUUUAUUUAUUUUUCUUCCAAAAAAGAAAAAACAAUACACGAGGUCAAACUCGUAAUUACAGUAUUAAUAAUUUGCCCCAUACAUAAAAAAACGAAAAUUGCCAAUACUGAAUAGAAAGAAAAGGGAGUAAAAUCUCAGAAGAACAAAAACCCGUUGCCAAAAUCCCAAGGCUUCCCAAAUCGGUACGUUCCACUGUCCUUGAAAACCCUAGUUUAUGUAGAUGGUAAAUGAAAUGAAAUCCAGUAGCUUUGGAAGCAAAUAAAGAUGGAAAUUUGUAUGUUGUUUGUUGUUGUAGAGCAAGCGAAAGAUGGAUGGUGUGAUAUCAGCCAAUGACCAGCAGGGCCUGGUCACUUCGUUUUUGGAGAUCGCUGUGGGGCAGACUGCCGAUACCGCCAGACAGUUUUUGCAGGUUACUAUGAAUCUCACAAUUAGUAUCCAAAACGCAUCGCAUUGAUCUCCUUCUUUGUUUUUGUAUUUUUUGUUCUUUGGGUAAAGAAAAGUAGUUGUAUUAGUAGAUUCAGGUGUUCAUUGGAUUGCAAGGUGCUUACUUGAGUCUAGUAGAAUGUAUGGAUAUUGAAAAUUCCAAUUUUUUACAUAAACAGGCCACGGGCUGGCAGCUCGAGGAGGCAAUUCAGCUGUUUUAUGUGGGUAAUGAAGCAGGGUCAAUAGCUGCGGCGCAGCCUCCGACUGAAAAUAUUGAAAAUUUGGCGGAUCAAACUUCUGGGUAUUUCAUAUUGUUCAGUUCUGCUUUUCUUUGUCGGCAUUUUUUUUUUCUUUUUUGACAUUGGGUUUGUAACAGUGCAAAUGAGAAUGUGGUACAUCAUGGUAUAAAUGAGAAUGUUGGACAACUUGGUGAAGAUGAGGUGCGCCCUCCUAUGCCUGUUAUAAGGGACGUUCUUUAUGAUGAUGCGGCGCUCUAUGGGUAUGUUUUAUCACUUCAUCUUUAGCUUUGUCCUUGGACUAGAAAGCUUUGUAUUCUAUUUCGGUAUGUUGUAAAAAAAAUUUCUUUCUUUUUUCCCCUGUUUCUUCUUAAGUAUAUGAUGUACUUAACUUUAUCAUGGAAAUGUUUUCUUCUUCCUUCGAGUUAAGAUCUUCUGAAUUGGGUUUUCCGUUUACAUAACAAUGGCAUUAGUAUUGUAGGAUAGUACUAGGUCUGUAGAAUUGCAUUUUGAGAAUUGGGAAAUCACAUGGUAUUUCAUUGUUAUUCCUUUCCUAUAGCGAUUGGCAAGCCUCGUGUAAAAUACUAAUGGAGUUUGAUAAUUGGAAUGUUGUAAAGUUUCAAAAAGUCUCCUUUCUAUUUCUUUGAUAAAAGUAAUAUAGGUGGCGUAAUAUAUCUGUUUUCCUUUGUUAUUAAUAUUCAUUCUUCAUGUCAGAUGGUGGAUUUUUAUUGCACACAAGACUACAUGGUGUGAUUUUUAUUAGUUAGUUGACUUCAUUUUAUAUGCACAGUAUUUACUUUGGUCUUGUGCAAUCUUUAUACUUAAACCCACCCUAACAUGUAGUUGCAAGCCAAUAUGCAUGUCGUUUUUUUCUUUUCACAAGUCAUUUUAUAUGGUGUAUUUGGCCUCUUUACUCAUCGUAUUUUAAUAAAUGGAGGUUUCUUUUAUGCCAAUUUCAUCUAGUUCACCAAGGGCAAGAUUUUCACAACAUGAAUCGGGUUCUGUAAUUGCAUUCCGUAACUUUGAAGAGGAAAUGAAGCAUCCUGGGGUAUGGGAAUCAGGCCAAGGUGCUACAUCCUCUGCAGAAACGGCCCGAGAUAAUCUUGCUUCCUUAUAUCGUCCUCCCUUUAAGCUACUGUUCCAGGGUUCCUUUGAAAAGGUAUGGUAAUUUGUUAUCUUCCAGGCUUCAUAGUUUGUGUAAUGUAGAAUUUGAAGGGUUAUAAUCAGUAUUAUUGAUGUUAUGGGUUGCCAGGAAGGGCUUUGUGGAGGUACCCCUAAUGUUUUGGGCCUUUAUUCUUUGUCGGAGAAAUUACAUAUAUCAGAUCUGAUCAUGAAUCUUGCAGCUGUGACUCUCAUAUAAAACCUUUCUGGUUUGUUAUACUAGAUCAAUCAUAUAGAUUCAAAAUAUAUGAGAUGCGGAAAUCAAAGAAUACUAGUUGAUCAAGGGACAUGUAGAGUGAUACAGUCAUCGUUUAGUUAUUCAUUCUCAUUGAGCAAAUAAAAUUGAAUAUUUUUUUUAUACUAAUGCAGGCAAAAGGCGCUGCUUCUGUCCAGGACAAAUGGCUCCUGGUGAACUUGCAAUCCACUAAAGAGUUCAGCUCUCAUAUGGUAGGCAUUUUCUCUGCGGUCUAUUUCAUUUUUGGUUUCUUUGUUUUUCUACAUGUAGACUUAUGUGUGUAUAAAUACAUUUCUUUGUGAAGCUUAAUCGAGACACCUGGGCCAAUGAAGCUGUCUCUCAAACCAUUAUUACUAAUUUUGUAUUCUGGCAGGUCAGUACCAUGUUUAAGUGACAAUUUAUUAUGUAUUUAUGCUUGCUAUUUCUUUCUAUUAAAUUAAAUCAGCUGUGCUAUUUUAUUAGUUAUACAAGUGCAGGCUGUUGAUGGGGUUUAUUUGUUGAUAAAUUCCUUUUACAUGUUAUUGGCUUAUCCUCCCUUACGUACUUUAUUGUUUGGUAUUGUGUGAUGCUUGUGAUAUGCAUGUGCACAUUUGUUCUCUAGAUGUACAUACUUCGAGAUAAAUGAUACGUAAUUGGGUUGGUGUUAUUACAUAUGCAUUAUCAUUUUCCCUUGGUAGGAGUGUAAUAGCCUAUAAAUCUUAUCCAAGGCUGCCAUAGAUGGGUUUUAUUUGUUGAUAAAUUCCUUUUACAUGUUAUUGGCUUAUCCUCCCUUACGUACUUUAUUGUUUGGUAUUGUGUGAAGCUUGAUAUGCAUGUGCACAUUUGCUCACUAGAUAUACAUACUUCGAGAUAAAUAAGACGUAAUUGGGUUGGUGUUAUUACAUAUGCACUAUCAUUUUCCAUUGGUAGGAGUGUAAUAGCAAGUAAAUCUUAUCCAAGGCUGCCAUAGAUGGUUUGACGUUUUGUUAGGAGUAUAGUAUAUGCUAAUCUAUGAACCAAACGUUUGUAAAAGGUUGAGAUUUUUUUAUCCAAGGCUGCCAAGAUUCUUAGAAUCUCUUUUUGGAAUUCAGAAUUGUGAAGAUUAUGUUUAAUUGUGUUAAUCUUUGUGUGGAUUUUGCUUCCUAAUUUGUAUGACAGCAUAUGUGGACAUGAAUCUUUUGGAUCACCUUUAUGCUUAUGAUGUUUUUGUUUGUGCUUCAUCUGUUUGAUGUUGGUCCGCAAAUAUAGACAUAUGAUGAUACAACUGAAGGCAGGAAGGUUUGCACAUACUACAAGUUGGAAUCUAUGCCUGUAGUUCUCAUUAUUGACCCCAUUACUGGGCAAAGAAUGCGUUCAUGGAAUGGAAUGGUUCAGCCAGAAUGUUUGCUAGAGGUAAAUGCCAUGGCGUAGAUUGUAUCUUCACAGUUGAGUAUAAAUUUUUCACUUGUUAGAGAGCUUAAGAAACCUUUUCCUACAAAGAUCAAACUUUUACUUUGAAGUUCAAUUUUGGCAUGAAAACAUCCUUGCCACUGUAGGAUCUAUUACCCUUCUUGGAUAGUGGCCCCAGGGACCAUCAUGUAACUUUGUCCCAUAAACGCCCAAGGGAAAGUUCUCUGCCUCAGCCACAGAAAACUAAAGGUAUGCAUGGGCUUCCAAAUAUCUUCUGCUAUAUUACACUGCAGAGAACCAUUUUGCUUCUUGAAUCUGUUGAAUUUUUAUUAUUUUUCAAAUUAUUGCUUGGGUAAACCUCUCUGUUGAUCCUAAUCCUUGUUCCAACUCAAUUAAGUGGGGGUGGGGUAGUAGAAAAAAAGGAAAAAGAAAUCCUUUGUAAAGUGUAAUAUAUAGUGAAAUGACAGUCAUAUGCUUAACUGAAUGAAUGAUUGAAGUUUGCUUUAGAAGAAAAAUCUGCAGCUGAAAUUAUAGUUGUUUUCCCAUUUUACAUAUUGUUUCAUUAUUUGAUGCUCCUUUUGAUUUUAUAAAUGGGGUUGCUGUUUAUGUUGUAGUCUGAGUGAUUGUUUCAGCUUGAUUGUAGUGAUAUCAGAGAGAAGUUUUUGUCUGAAUAGUUUUGCACGGACAUUGACAUAUCUCUUGGUUAAUGUGCUUGGUUUCUUGUGUUCUCAUGAAAAUAUGCUUGGUUUCUUCUGUAUAAAAUACCUGUGUCAGUAUCUGCGAUGGUGCUUUGUGUAUUCGUGUUGUAUGUGGUUUACUAAGAGGCUCAGAUGGGUGAUUGCUUGUACAUACCGCCAAAUUCGUAAAGCCGUGACAUAUCCAAAUUUGUAUCCAUCUUUGCUAGCAGCUGAAUGAUGCAUUCUAGAUCCGCUCUUGAAAACUUGUUUUGGAUUUGUUCUUUCCUUUCCUUUUUCUUCUUCUGUUAUUUUUUUCGUAGAUGAGCUGCAUGUAUGACUUAAGGUGCUUCAGUUGCAGACGAAACUAAUGAAGAAGAUGAGGAAGUGCAGCGCGCAUUGGCAGCUUCGAUGGAAGGCAUGCAGGAGACAGGUGGGAUAUCCAAAGAUAAAGAUGAAAUCAUUACCGACAAGGAGGAAGAAAAAUGCUUAGCCAAGACGCCUGCAUAUCCACCUUUGCCUGAAGAACCCAAGGGUGAUAAGAACCUCCUUUGCAGGGUUGGAGUCCGUCUUCCAGAUGGGCGCAGGGUGCAGCGGAAUUUCCUUCGCACUGAUCCAAUUCAGGUAAGAAGUGAAAGAAGUUUUUUUGUAUUAGUAUAUAAUGGAAAAGAUUUGAAUUGUGAUUAGCGUUUAACACUUAAUUGCAUCUAAACUGAGAGAGUUUGACUCUGUAAAUCAUUUUUAUCGAAGUUAAAUGCUUGCAGAGAGUUCAUGCAUAUGUUCGACAAAAUUUCCACAGUAGACUUAUAUGGCAUGCGCUACCAUCGAAAUGAUGAGCACAGGCUGUUAUUAGCAGGAUCUAUUCUACUCCCAUCCUAGGGUUGUCACUAAAUUUGAAUUGUUUGUUUUGCAGAUGUUGUGGUCAUUCUGCUAUUCCCAACUCAAGGAAGCUGAGACAAGGCGGUUUCGGUUGACUCAGGCAAUCCCAGGAGCUUCAAAGAGUCUGGAUUAUGAUUGUCAAUCUACUUUUGAAGAGUCGGGGCUUGCCAACUCUAUGGUCUCAGUUACUUGGGAAUGAAUGAAUGAAUGAAAUCAUGUUGGGGAAUUUUUGGUUGUCACUUUGUUUAUACAUGUUUCCAGGACUUAGGAGGUGUCGUUUAAUGGAUGGGGAAUUGGGGAUGCAGAUUUUGUAGUGUACUAUUUAUUAUGUAUAUACUCAUGCAAAGGGCGCAUGAAUCUACACUUGUUUAUGCUAAAUUUGGCGCUCUCUCUUUCUCUCUCUCUCUCUCAUAUUCUCAUUCUCAUUAGAGUUUUGUAUGGAUGGGCCACGUGGCACGAAAUCUCACUUUAGAAUUUUGGGUUUUAUCCACCUUUAACAAUUUGAUUCAUUCUAUGAUUUGGAUCGUAUCUCAACAUCUUUUGAAGAAAGGACGGAAUAGUAGCCCAAGAACUUUAUGCCUCACUACCCCGAGGCCCAAUGGCUCAACAGUGUAUAGCCCAAACCGAGAUGGAAUUUGAUGGGGUGGAUCCUGGAAUCUUGACGAGACAUGGGCCUAACUUUCAGAACAUUUUAACUUUUUACAGAAUUCUCUUCGAUUAAAUGUGGACGAAAGGGAGGAAAACUAGAAAAGUUUCACUUGUCGGCACAUACCGACAAUUUAAAAACAAAGAGAUCAAAAGCUACGACAUUUUCGUAUUCAUGUCAAAGAUAUUUCCUUUUGGUUACUUACUUUAUAUAUUGUAUUAAGGCCACGAUAUCUUUCUUUUCAAAAGCUAGAUUUGGUGGAAACGUUCUUUUCAUGAUCUAUGCAUGUUCAUCUAGAUGUGCUGAGUUAUCCAUUGCUUGAAAAUACUUAAAUAUAGAGUUUAUUUUCAAUAUAUAUAUAUAUAUAUGGAUAAAACAGAAAUUCUCUUAUAUAGACAUUCAAACGUUAUUACUGUGUGGAAAUUGGAAACCAUGUAUUUUCUACUACUCUUCCAUGUUUUCCUUCAUAUUUACAAUGACAUCCGCACAAUAUUCAGAUGAGAAAAUAACUUAUAUAGUAGUUAAACUUAAAACCUCAUUUAAAAUCUAAAAUACACCAAAUAUGUUUGAUUAAUGCUGUCAAUAAUAUAGGAGUGCUCUCCCUCCUUAUAUUUUUUUUUGUAGGACGAGUCCUUUCCAAGCUGUUUUCCAAUAUUUGAAACUAAUUUUGUUCAAUUAAUCUUGUAAAGUUAUCUUUUCAUCAUAAGCCCUGAUUACUUUUAUUAUAUACAUAGGACAUUAAAACCAAAUCUAAAAUAACAAGCUGUACAGCGAUAAUUAAUUUAAAAAAAUUUCUUUUAGGCUUAGCAUAUGCAUAUAUAACUUAUAAGCAUAUACUUGGGAAAAACAACGGUUUCAAAAUCCAGAGGGAGGCAAGCUUACUGAUAUCCAUGAUGAGUAAAGGUAAAAGAGAAAAAUAAGACGUUUGACAGCUCAAUGGAGCUUGGAUUGUCGUCAUAUAAUGUUGGCAGAAAGCACAGAUCACGCAGUGACAAGUCACCGCUGCUGCACUAGUCCCAAUAAUGUAUUAUUAUCGACACAGUCACAGAAAUGUACGUGUGGCUCCUCUUUUUCUUCUUUCUUUCUUUUUAUUAAUUACUUUUUUUUUUUCAUUUCUCGAAUCUUCUUCUCUAUCUAUCUAUAUAAGGGCUUGCAAGCUUAGUAAUCUUUUACAUCGAUAUACAACCUAAGCUAGCUUUGCUACCUCAUCAGAUACAUAUACAUUAGAAAGAUAUGGAGCGCUCCAUGCGUUUAUUUUCAACUGCCUUCGUCUUCUUUCUGCUUCUGGCAGCUGCUGGUAAUAUUUAGGCUUCUUCUCUUGUCUUUCCUCUGGUUAACUUGUAAACUAUAUAUAUAUAUAUAUAUAUACAUAUUCAACUGUUGGGAUUAAUUAAUGUAUGUUUGGAAUGAUUUGCAGGGAUGAUGGGGCCAAUGGUUGCUGAGGCUAGGACCUGUGAGUCUCAGAGUAAUCGGUUCAAGGGAACUUGCGUGAGUACAAGCAACUGUGCAUCUGUUUGCCAAACUGAGGGCUUCCCUGGUGGCCAUUGUCGUGGCUUUCGCCGCAGAUGCUUUUGCACUAAACAUUGUUAAUUAGCGAUGAUCGUGAUACUCCUGCAUGCACAUUUCUAUGUGGGCCUAGGAGGAGACGAUUCUGAAUGAUCCCUUAUAUCAGUGGCCGUACUUGCUACUAAAAUAAAUUAUUAUAUGAUGAGCCAAUUAACAGUUGGGUUAUUAUUAUUAUAUCCUUGUUAUUGUUCUUGUUCUUGUUUGUUAAUUAAGUACCACCCUCGUGAGUUGCCUUGCCUUGUUUUGUCAACGAUGUCUUUGUAACACCCCUACGUUUUGUAAUAAUGCAAUAUUAUUGAUUUCCUCAACCAUACAUGUAGUCAUUUUGCAAGGGUUAUCAUCUUUUCUAAUUGAUCAAACAUGCAGCGGGGGAGCAAUUUAAAUUCCAAUCUUUCAAAUUUAAGGUGGCCAGAGCCAAUCUCACCACAAAUAUA